rnacentral:lncRNA from 1 species
UAAAAAUAAGUUUGAGGUUUUCUAUGAAAUUGAACAUCUACGAACAUUCUUGCCAUUACGCUUACGCAUGCGAGGUACUUUUUUCAUAACUAGAACGGUUCUAUCUGAUUUGCUGCCAAAGUUCAAAAAAUUGAGGAUGCUAUCUUUAGAAGGAUACUGUAUUGGUGAGUUACCAAUUCCAUUUGAAGAUCUCAGACUUUUAAGGUUCCUCAACCUCGCUGACACUGACAUAAGAAGUUUACCUGAGUCAACAUGCAAAUUGCUGAACUUGGAAAUUCUGAUAUUAAGAAAGUGUUCCCGCUUGAUAAAGCUUCCCCAGAAAAUGAGGAAUUUGAUCAAUUUACGUCAUCUGGAUAUAAGAGGUGCACAGCAGCUGAAGGAGAUGCCAUUUGGAAUGAAAGAGUUGAAGAAGCUUCAAACAUUGUCCAAUUUUAUUGUGGGCAAGGGUGAAACUGCAUCCGGUGUGGAAGAUUUAAAAUGUUUAAGCUUUCUUUGUGAUGAACUUUGCAUUGCUGGAUUAGAGAAUGUGAAUAAUCCACAGAAUGCAAGAGAAGCCGCAUUAUGCGAGAAGCACAAUCUUGAAGCAUUGACUCUAGAAUGGGGGUCUCAAUUUGACAAUUCUCGAGAUGUAGCAAUAGAAGAGCACGUGCUUGACAUUCUACAGCCUCAUAAAUGUAUAAAAAAGGUGGCAAUCAGGAGCUAUGGUGGUGCAAGAUUUCCACUUUGGAUAGGAGAUCCGUUGUUCUCCAAGAUAGAAUUCCUUGAAUUGGAGAACUGUGACAAUUGUGUAUCUUUGCCAUCGCUUGGCCGUUUGAGUUCACUUAAACACCUUGCUGUUAAAGGGCUGAAGAAACUAAAAAGCAUAGAGCCUGAGGUUUAUGGGGAGGGUUUCUCAACGCCUUUUCCAUCAUUGGAGAUUCUAAGUUUCGAGAAUUUGACAGAAUGGGAGCAUUGGGACACGGAUAUCAAAGGAAAUGCACUUGUUGAAAUAUUUCCUCGUCUCCAUAAACUUUCCAUUGUGAAAUGUCCCAAACUCUCUGGAGAACUGCCUGAGCUCCUGCCCUCCUUGGAGACACUUGUUGUUAGUAAAUGUGAAAAGUUGGUAGUUCCAAUGUCUUGCUAUCCGAUGCUCUGCAGAUUAAAAGUUGAUGAGUGCAAAGAACUGGUCUGCCGGACUCCAAUUGAUUUUAAGUUGAUAAAGUCUGUGACUAUUUCAAAUUGUUCACUAGACAUGUAUGGAUGCAAGGGGAUGCUAUACAAUGGUCCAGCUGGCUCUUCACUGCCGAAAUCCAUGACUAUUACAAAUGUUUUGGCGUUUGGAAAAUUAUUGAAGCCUGGAUUUCAGAUAUUAGAAACUUUGGUAAUUGACAAUUCUGAACAGCUCAAGUCAUGGAGGCAGCGUGGGGAUUUUCGACAAGAAUAUUUGGGCGUUCGCGUAAGGCGUCACAAACCAUCACAAGGGCUAGAUAUGCUCGCCUCCCCAGAAGAGGUAACAAUUGAAGAAAGUUGUGUGAGUUUUGUUUUAUUUCCAGAGAUCAAUUUCUUUCCCAGAAAUCUGCGCUCUCUUCUAAUUUGCAACAGCACAGCUUUAAAAUCCUUACCCGAUGAAAUGAUGGACAAUUCACAACUCGAAAGGUUGUAUAUCAGAGAUUGCGAUUCUCUAACAUUCAUCACAAGACGCAAGCUACCUUCAUCUCUAAAAAGUAUAGAGAUUGAGAAUUGUGAGAAACUGCAACAUUUGUUCGAUGAUAAAGAGGAUGCUUCUUCUUCUUCUCCUCCUUCAUCCUCGUCCUCCCCAGUGAUGCUGAAACACCUGAGUAUAAAUAAUUGCCCAGUGCUCACCAGUUUAUCAACAGGAAUCCAAUUACUUGAGGCGCUUGAAAGCCUCGAGAUACGGGAUUGUCCAAAGCUGGAGUCAUUACCAGAUGGCCUUCACAAUCUUAACUGUUUACAGGAGAUUACUCUAAACAGUUGUCCAAGUCUUGUUUCCUUCCCAGAAAGAGGACUUCCCAACACGAUUUCAAAUCUUGUAUCGUUUCCAGAAGAAGGUUUUCCUACCAAUCUAACAUCACUUACAAUUGGAUAUUUCAAAAUGUAUAAGACACUCGUCCAGUGGGGGUUGCACAGGCUUACCUCUCUUAAACGCCUCUGCAUCAUUGGAUGUGAUGAUGAAGCAGAGUGUUUUCCAGACGAGGAGAUAGGAAUGACGCUGCCCACCUCUCUCACUCAUCUGACACUUUCGGAAUUCAAAAAAUUGAUAUCUCUGUCUUCGACGGGUAUUCAGAGCCUCAACUCUCUUCAAUCUUUGUCGAUCGGGAAUUGCCCGAAUCUCACAUCAUUUCCAGAGGUGGGCCUUCCAUCCUCACUUUUGGAAUUACACAUUUACAGUUGUCCAAAGCUUAAAAAAGCGUGCAAAAGAGAUCAAGGAAAAGACUGGCCCAAAAUUGCUCACAUCCCUUUCGUUGAGAUAGACGGUAAAUUCAUAUACGAUCCCGAAUCAGAGGAGUAGAUUCUAUUACACAGGUCAGUUGAUUUAUAUUAUCCGCUAUAACAAGCUCCUCCUUUUUUAUUUUUUUUAAAUAAUAAUUUUGCAGUCAGUCACGUGAUUCCGUUUUCACAAGUCAGAUUGUAUGUUGAGGCUAUUUGCCUUUUAAUCGCAGAUUAAAUUAUAACACUUAUCUUAAAAUUUAAUACCAUAGACAGAUAGACGAUUUUUUAAUCCAAAGUUUUUUUUAUUCACUUCAGUUAGCAUUUUUUUUUCCCCCAAAUCAUGCAAGCCGAGAGUUUCAAUCAAGAAUUGGAGGAUGUGAAUGGGAUUUUUGUGAAAGAGUAACAUAAUGGAUGACCGAACAUUUCAUCUGUGAUCUCAAAGUCAACAGAAUUUUAUUCACUCAUUGACUUUUCAACUGCCGUGGUUUUUAUGGGUGAAAGAUAAGGGCAAUUACAAAAAAUUUGCAAAAUUUGUCAAUUUCUUAGAUGGUAGAUAUAUCGACAUUUUAGAUUUCAGAUAUUUGUCACCAAUUUGCAAAAUUGAAAUUUCUGUCUUCAAUGGGUUUUCAAAGCCUCGCCUCUCUUCGAUUUUUGUGGAUUGGGAAUUGCACAAAUCUCACAUCAUUUCCCGAGGUCGAGGAAAAGAGCGGCCCAAACUUGCUCGCAUCCCUUGGGUUAUGAUAGAUGGAAAAUUCAUGUACGAUCCAGUCAGAGGUGUUGAUUCUCUUAUUAAGGUCAGCUGAUUUCUAUUAUCCACUCUGACAAUCUCCUAUUAGUGUUUUUCCUUUUUUUUUUUUCAAAAUUUUGCAGUUCUGUAUAAUUGAAAAUGCCACUCACUUGUUUCCUUUUUCACAGGUCAGAUAGUAUGUUGAGGCUAUUUGAUUUCUAUCGGUGUUUGUUAAGGUAAUUAGUGCUCCCUCAUAGGUAUGACUAGAUUUUUUUCACUUCCGUAAAUAUUGCAUUUUAGACUGGCAAAUUUAGCAGUAAUUUUAAUACAAUUUUGUUGGUGCCUUGUGUGCCAGAAGCUAGAAAAAUGUGUAGUUUUCAGAUAAGGAGUCUUGUUAGUUCUCUAGUAAGAAUCCAAUAAUUUGCUUUUGCACGUCCAUCUAAUUUGUGGAUCCUUGCAUCAGAAUUUGAUCAAUCCAAAGGAAUUGCUUUUAGACAGAAGAAGAAUAGCAGCACCUAGCCUAUGUCAUAGUGUAUGGACCCGCAAACCUGAAACUAUUAGAUUGAGGUAAAAAAAUCAUUGACCCUCACAUGUUAACUUCUUCUAGUUACUUUUGUUGGGAAAAAAAAACAUUUAAGGAAUUUGCAAUUUGUUGUUAGUUAUGGUAUCUGAUGUUCUUUUCUGUUUUAGCGUUUGUAGAAUCUACGGUAUUAUGUGUUGGCAGUUGCCGUAUCUGAGGUAACUUGCCUUUAUUUGUUUGCUUCUGACUUAAGGACACCAACAUUUGCCAGAGAUUUAGAGAAGCAUCUCAAAACACUUAGCAAACUUGACAAACUUCAAGAUGCACUUGCCCCCACGCCUUAUUCUCCACAACGCAAAACUUGUGAGUACACUUAUGCCUGCAAUUAUUGUGAAGUGUUUGCAAUUUCGAUGCAGAGAAAUGGUUUCUUGAUGCAAAGUAUUAAACUGUUAAGAUUUAUCCUGCAGGCUUGUUAGAUGUUGUAUACUCGAAAAGCCAACAACAUCAAGAACUACAACUCCAAGACCAACUUUGCAUUAAUUCAGUCAGCUGUAAAAAUGAUGCAAAUGACACUAUAUCAAGCUGGACUUAGAGACUAGUCAGAUCAAUCAUCCAUUUCAUCAACGGUUAAUGUCAUGAUGGUGGCUAUCAGAGGAAACAAAAGAUGUGUCAGAAUCUAUACGAACAUUGAGAAGCAUGAGAGGAGCUUUGAUUUUGAGUAGGGUCAAUGAACUCAUGUUGGUAAGUGGUGAUUAAAGAAAUUUGUAAGCUUAGUAGAGUUUCAGUAUUUUCUGUUUGGAGUAUAGUUGAUAAGUUGACUCUGUUUAAGAAGCCCGAUUAUAGUAGCUGACUGUAUUAACCUUUUUUUUUUUGGUCUGCUGUUGUUUUUGGUUUCGAUUAUUUUUUCAACAUUGGGUUGAUCUGUUGAAGAACAAGCUUGGGUUUGAUUAUGUUUUAACUAUAAGGAAGAGCCAGACUUGGUUGCAGGCGUUAAGCUUUUAAUGGGUAAGAACAAAUGAAUGCUUUAACCAUGUUUCUCACUUAUUAAAAUGCAUGGAUUGAAGGCAUCUGGGUUGAUCCUGACAAUGUGAUGGAAAUACUUCUCUGUUUUCAUGUAACAGGACAAAUAGAGAUCUCUGAUCAUGCCUGAAUUUUUGUUGCAUUGAAAUUUCUACCAUUACCAAACAUAGAAUGAACUGGGGAUACAUUAGCUUAAGACUCAAUUUUGAGAAGGAAGUUUGUACUUGCAGCCUAUAAAAUCAUGUCCGUGUCGUACGUUUCUUUGGGAAAUGAAAGAUUCUGUGUGUUCUUUUAUUUCAAGUUCACUGAAAUCACAUUUGUUUUCUCCGAUGCUUUCCAGAAGGUAACAACAUCAAUUUCAAAAAUGCUGGGGCAAGAUGCAUCAUGCAGUGCGACUCAACUUGAGAAUUCCUGGCCACAUUACCCGUAUGUCGAAUGAUCGCACAGUUCAACCUUGAGAAGCUUGUAAUGAGUACACAACUGGGUGCAAGUAGUUUUGAAAUGAAUUUGCCUCAAAUGAUUUCUUGCUCGCAUCCCUUGGGUUAUGAUAGAUGGAAAAUUCAUAUACGAUCCAGAGUCAGAGGUGUUGAUUCUCUUAUUAAGGUCAGCUGAUUUCUAUUAUCCACUCUGACAAACUCCAAGACCGGGUUUUUUUUUUUUUUUAAUUUUGCCGUUCUGUAUAAUUGAAAUGCCACUCACUUGUUUCCUUCUUCACAGGUCCGAUAGUAUGUUGAGGCUAUUUGCUUUUUAUCGGUGUUUGUCAAGGUAAUUAGUGCUGCCUCAUAGGUUGAUUACUCACAGAUGAAAUCAUAACUUUUAUCUUAAAAUUUAAUAGCAUACACAGAUAGAUGAUUUUUAGUCCAAAGUUUUUUUAUUCACUUCAAUCAAAAUUUUAGAUUGCAGAUUUUUGUCAAGUAUUUCAUUACAAUUUUUUCAUUUUUUAUUUUAAACCAGAAUAUGAGUAUAACAUUUUGGAGCGUGCAUACUCUGAUGCAUGCAAUUAACUGUUUUUAAUCAUUGGAUUUUGAAAUUAAUAAUGGUAAGAUGUGUACUUAUUCUGUCUUCCAACAACCUUGGCCUCUUUCUUCGGUCGCAUAUCUAAUGAAUAUUUCUCUGUUUAGUUAAGGAUGAAUGCUUGGAGUGGGGUACUUGGUAACAUUUCUGCCUCAGAUGAAUCCUUGAAGAAAUGCCCGCAGUUCCUGAGACCAAAUACAGGUCUGAUUCAAAACAGCACCUUUCUCAGAAAAUAUGAUCCAAGGCAAAGUCAUGUUCUGAUAAUGUUUCCUUAAGUACAAAGUUGCAAGGAAACUUGAUUCAUUAACUACAGUUUUUUAUUUUUAGGACCUUGUAUCUGAAAGGUUCAGUGUUUUUUUUUUUUUCAAAUUUAUUGUUCAGAUCUCAGAGGAGUAUAUGGUUUAGAUUACAAAACACCCAUGAUUAAUUUCAUUUUUUUUUUAAUUUCAGGGAGAAGAAGUGGUCAGUUUCAAUCCGGAAUUGGAAUAUGGCAAUUUGGUUCAAGCACACACACCUGGUCACUUGGUCAGUGAACCUGAACUUUACGCAGUUUUUUCAACUCAGUGAUUUUUGGAACGCAUAGUGGUGUAAGGAAAUCAAAAGAAAUUUAUGCAUAGUCAAAUUCUGAUAUUUGCUAUAUAUUAUACAUUCUAAAGUUUCUCCAGUUUGUUCUCAGAUUACCAUCAUUUUUUGCCUUCACCAAAAAAAAAAAAUUGAGUGGCUUUCCAGUGGAUAUUUAAUCGGAGGUAUGACUGGAUUUUUUUCACUUCUGUAAAUCUUGCAUUUUAAACUGGCAAAUUUAACUUUAAUUUUAAUACGACUUUGUUGGUGCCUUGUGCCCCAGAAACUAGAAAGAUGUGUAGUUUUCAGAUAAAGGGGCUUGUAAAUUCUCUAGUAAGAAUCCAAUAAUUUGCUUUUGCACGUUCAUUUUAUUUGUGGAUCCUUGCAUCUGAAUUUAAUCAAUCCAAAAGGAAUUGCUUUUAGACAGAAGAAGAAUAGCAGUACCUAGCCUAUGACAUAGUAUAUGGACCUGCAAACCUGAAACUAUUAGUUUGAGGUAAAAAAUUCAUGACCCUCACAUGUUAACUUUCAUGAAAAACACAUUUAAGAAAUUUGCAAUUUUUUGUUAGUUUCGUAUCCGAUGUUGUUUUCUGUUUUAGCAUUUGUAGAAUCUACUGUAUUAUAUUUUGGCAGUUGCAGUAUCUGAGGUAUGUUUUGCAUUUAACUUGCUUUAUUUGUUUUGCUUGUGACUUAAGAACACCAAUAUUUGCCAGAGAUUUAGAGAAGCAUAUCAAGCUGCUUGGCAAACUUGACAAACUUCAAGAUCCUCCAUUCUUCACAACGCAAAACUUGUAAGUACACCUAUGCCCGCAGUUAUUGUGAAAUGCUUGCAAUUUUGAUGCGCUGAAAUGGUUUGUUGAUGCAAAGGUUUAAACUUUUAAGAUUUACCCUGCAGGGUAGUUGGAUGCUGUAUACUCGAAAAGCGACCAACAUCAAGAACUAUGACUCCAAGACCGGGUUUGCUUUAAUUCAAUCAGCUGAAAUCAUGAUGCAAACGACACUAUCAGCUGGACUUAGAGACCGGUCAGAUCAAUCAUCCAUUUUAUCAACAGUUAAUGUCAUGAUGGUGGCUAUUAGAGGAAACAAAGGAUGUGUCGGAAUCAAUGUGAACAGUGAGAAGAAUGAGAGGAGCUUUGAUUAUACGUAGGCUCAAUGAACUCAUGCUGGUAAGUGGUAAUUAAAGAAAUUUGUGCGCUUAGUAGCAUUUCAAUAUUUUCUGUUUGGGAUAUAGUUGAUGAGUUGAUACUCUGAUUAAGAAGCCUGAUUAUAGUAGCUGACUUUUUUUUUGUGGUUUGCUGUUGAUUUUUCUUUUGAUUUUUUCAACAUUAGGUUGAUCUGUUGAAGAACAAGCUUGGGUUGAUUAUGCUUUAACUACAAGGAAGAGCCAGACUUGGAUGCAGGCGUUCAGCUUUUAAUGGGUAAGAACAAAUGUAUGCUUUAAACAUGUUUCUCACUUAUUACAAUGCACGCAUUGAAGGCAUCUGAGCUGAUCCUGAAAAAGUGAUGGAAAUACUUCUCUGUUUACAUAAAACAGGACAAGAGAUCUCUGAUCAUGCCUGAGAAUUAGUUGCAUUGAAAUUUCUACCAUUGCCAAAAAUAGAAUAAACUAGGAAUACAUUAGCUUAAGACUCAAGUUUGAGAAGGCAGUUUGUACAUGCAGCCUAAAAAAUCAUGUCUGUGUUGUAUACUUGUAUGUUUCUUUGGGAAAUGAAAGAUUCUGUGUGUUCUAUUAUUUCAAGUUUGCUGAAAUCACAUUUGUUUUCUUAGAUGCUUUUGAGAAGGUAACAACAUCAAUUUCAAAAAUGCUGGGGUAACAUGCAUCACGCAGUGCUACUCAACAUGAGAAUUCCGGCCGCAUUACCUGUAUGUUGAGUGAUCGCACAGUACAGCCUUUAGAAGCUUGUAAGGAGUAGACAACUAGAUGUGAGUAGUUUCAAUAUGGAUUCGCAUCAAAUGAUCUCUUGCCAGUGAUUACUAUAACCUCUAUCCCAAAAUUCUUGGAACUGGUCAUACCAAUAAUGAAGUGUUGUGUAUGUUGAAGACAUUGCGAAAGCUCCGUCAGCCUUUGUAUUGGAAAACAGUUGGUUGUAGUUGCUUCUGAAUGAUAUUAUUAAUAGAUACUGUAAAAAUGAACUGUGCCACUCAUUUUCAGAGCCCUGUUAAGAUGUGUUGGUAAUGUGUUUGAAGGUUGUUUGAUUUAUGUUGUAUUCAGCUAUAAAUCAAAGAUUCAGAACAUGGUUAUGUUACUGGUUUCCAAAUCAAAAAAUUGCCUUGUGAUGUUAGUGUUCAUUGUUUUCACAGGAGAUCAGGUUCCCUGUUGAUGAAUCAUUAAGGCAAACGCAUCCAUGUCUUAAGUUCAAAUGUGUCUCUUCUAUUUUCUAUUACUGACUCCUUUAUUUUGAUUUCUUCAUUGUAAUGGAAUUGGUUUUUAUUCCAAAUUAGUCUUAAGUUCUGUUAGCAUUUGAAGAUAGAACUAGAACUAAAUGAUUGACUGGAUUAAAUUCCGAUAAAGAAUUAAGUUAUAUAUUUAGAGAUAUUAUGUUUUUUUUUUUUUCAUUUGUUCAAUUUGGUUAGUGGUGAUUUCUUAAAGACUCAAUCCAUGUGCGUUUAUGCAUUUUUCUUUUGCCUUAAUUUCUGUUUCUUGGGGAGUUUAUACAGAUUCUUAUUUUAUGCUUCACAUGCCACAUGAAAGAUCGAAUUCUUAUAAUAAGAGUCUGAGAUCUCCCUGAAGGAUUCAAAGCAUUUUAUUUUAUAUUAAACUCCUUUACGUGGGUUUGGACACUACCACAAGUUCUUUAAAUACUAAAACGAUUUUAAGUCUUUUGUAUCAUCUGAUUGAAAUACAUGAAAGCACUCGUGGCUGCAAAAAUACAGUUGGGGCUAUUUCUAAAGUCUUCAACAGCAUUUUCUUUUUAACCUUUAUCCUCAUGGUUGUUUUUGCAGUUGUUCUUUAAGAAAACAUUUAAAAGGUUCUCUUUAUGGAUUUUUGAAAAUAAUUUUAACAUAAGCAAUUUUCAGAAGCACUUUAGAUGUCUGGCAUUUAGAAAAUUUUAUUCCGGUGUCACAUAAAAUACUUAGGAAGUUAAAUUUAUUUAUUUAUGAGCAUGUGCCAGUGCCCUGUGGCAUCCUCUUCACUUGUGAUAGUCAAAUGUAUUAUACGAUACAAUAUUAGCUUGACUGUAGCACAGAGGAGAAUAGGGUUGGUGUUGGUCUGAACCAGCUUAUGUAACAGCUGCCAAAGGAUAAUUUAAUUGUACUUUGAGUAAAGCUUUUGCAAAUUAAACAAGUGAUAAUUUGUUUCUAUUAAGAAAAACUUAAAGGAUAGGGCUAUUUUAACUCACCAAACUACACAUUAAAAAUCUACUUACAAAAAUAGUUUUUAAUUAUUAAAAUAUUCCUAAAUUAAAUUAUAAUUAUGGACACUAAAAUAUAAUUUUUUUUAUAUUUUACCCUUUGAAACUAUCUUUACAUUCGAUAUUACAUUUUUUUCUUAAACUCCAAAUUGAUUUUUUUUAUUAAUUUUAAAACACAUAUAAAGUGAUUCAUAUUGAUUUUAUACUAACAAACUAUUAUAGCACAUUCGAAAAAUAAUUAAAUCGUUCUUAUUUACAUAGUGAAAAUGCAAAUAGCUCAUUCAAAUGUUAAGGAAUUGGAGAGCUGCUGCUGGAGAUGAAAGAUGUGAAUUAAACAUCAGAGAAAAAAUUAUGUUCACUGUCUUGCCAGACCAAGCACCGAAAAGCGUCGUAAAGAAAAAUUAGAUAAUUUAGAAGAUAAAGCACGUGGAAUGGAGGCAGAAAGCAAGUAAUGAUAACUCUUUCGACAAACUAAUAUAUACCAAAAUGUAAUAUCGGCCCUAAUAAAAAAUGUGUUACGUAAGUAAAAGCACCAGGUCGGUCGUGCUACUAUUUCUGUCCCGGUAUGGCUCACCUCAACUGAAUGGUACAAGCAGAGCAUGGAGACGAAUAUGGCCCGACCAGAGAUGAGUACCGACCAGAGGUGUAUGUCGAGCCGAUACCCGUCUCCUGAAAAAGCGGGAACACGAUCCCACAGAAUCGCGGAAUUUGCGUUUUUCCCAGAACCGUUGCGAGAGAUGCGAUACCCCACGUUUACCCGUAAUGUAGUAGUUAAAGUUCCGUGAAAGGCCACCACCCGAAAAAGGAGGGAUGAAGACUGAGCGGGAACGUGGGAUAACGGCUAUAAAAGAAGGAGAAAUCGAUGAAGAAGGGGACAGAAAAAUCAAAAGAGGGAAAACGCUGCCAAAUUAUUGUCAGGCUAUCUUCUUGAAAAUUCCAGAUAAAUCAAAAACUACUCUUAAAUCUAAAUUGCUCUGUUUUCCCGUAAAUACCUUGAGCUAACUUAGGCAUCGGAGGGUUUACGCCGGCAAAACCACCCGCGUCUUUGAUCCGUUUUUUUGUGAGCGCAGGUCUAGAAAGAGAAAGGAGGACGAGUCCAAGUCCCGCGGUUCGAACUUGAUAACAUAAUCGUUGGUGGAAAAUUCUGGUCGGUAACAAGGCGAGCAGAUUUAAGCAUCAACAUUUUGGCGCCGUCUGUGGGGAGCUGGAUAAAAAGCUACCACCAACUUAGUAGUUGCCAGAGAAGCGGUAAACAAUCAGACAUGGAUGUGCCCAGGAAAGACGCUCUGAGGGAGGAUAACGAGUCUGGAGAGACAAUCACUCUUAGGGAAAUUGCAAAUGAAGCCCGGGAGAGGGUAAUGCAAGAUCGAUUGGAGCGGAUGGAGAAACAAAUGGAGACUCUCGCGACCAUACUAUUUGAGCUGAGAGACGAGCGGAGAAGGGAUUGCGAAACCCCUGUGGGGAGAGAUGAUGUCGGAGCAGAACCCAGCCUCCGGACGCGUAGAGUCGAGGAGAUCCCUCCGCCGGCGGACCAACCUAAUGGGGUGCAUCCCCACAGAAGUACUGGUCGGAUUCCAGGAGAACAAAUAGAUGAAGGGAGGAACCAACCUCGCCCUGGGCGGGUACUGGAAGCUGAUGGCCGAGGGGCCAGUGUUAAUGAAGGGGAGCUCAGGCAGCGGUUGCAGAAUGCCGAACAGGAGCGAGAUCAAAUAGCUGCACGUGAUCCUGACCGUGCUGUAGAAUUGGAGGGAGAGGUGCGCAGAUUAGCGCAAGUGAUAGAGGAGAUACAGGGUAGGAGAAAGCCCCCGAGCUGGAGGAUAAUGCUAGAUGAAGAAUCUCCACUAUCAGUUGAGAUCAUGGGCACUGUAAUCCCAAGAGAUUUCCGCUUCCCCGACCUCAAAUACUCCGGGCGAAGUGAUCCACUGGUGCAUAUUGAACGUUUUAAUGACGUGACGGGUGUUCAGGGGUUAACACCAGCUCAGAGGUGUAGGGUAUUCCCAUUGACACUAGAGAGACGAGCCCGAGAAUGGUACCACAAACUGUUACGAGGAAGUAUCAGAGGGUACGAGCAGAUGUGCCAAGAAUUGGCCGAACAAUUCCGGGGGGCGGUGGCCCCAGAGGAUGAUAUGAUGGAACUAAUGGGGAUAAAGCAGGAGGAACAAGAACCCCUUCGAGAUUUUGUAAAACGAUACCACCGAGCCGUGCUUGAUUUGGGAGCUUUCAAUCACCCGCAGGCGUUGAGGGGAUUGAAGGAGGGUGUGAGAAUAGGCCGACUGUGGUAUAACCUGAGAAGCCCCCUGGUGCAGAAUUAUUCCGCGGGGUAUGAGCAAGCAAAGAGAGACAUUGAAAUCGAAGAAGAAAAAUCAGCCAGGAUAAAGAGUGAACAAUUGGAGGAGCUGAGACGAAGAGAGAUGAGAGCCCCAAAAGGAGCGGGUCAGGAAAGCAAGCUGGGGAAUCUUCAAUGAUGGGUGCAGUAUCCGCUCGAUCUCGCCUUUAUCCUAUGGCUCAGAGACCGCAGCAGGUCCAACACAAUCGGGCUCAGCCCUCACGCCCCCCAUUCCUGGAACGACAACGAGAAUUUCGGCAGUUGGCUAACCAUCCCUAUCACAACGCUCCCAGAGCACCGCAUACAGCCAACCCCAGAGCGGGACGAUCAGGUCAGCUACCUUCAAUAUCCGCUCGGGAUGAUACUCAUGAUAGCCGAGCAGUCCAGCUGAUUGACCAGAACCCAGCGUACGGACAAUAUACCCCGCUAAAAGUCCCUAUGGAGGAGUUGUAUGAGAGAAUCGAGGGACGAGGCCUGUUGUACCCUCCAGCCCCUAUAACGAAACCUGCUCACCGAAGGGAUAAGAGCAGAUUCUGCAAAUUCCAUGACACUCACGGUCACACCAUCAGCCAAUGUCGUGACUUUAAGAUUCAGGUGGAGGAUUUGGUGAGAAAUCGUUAUUUGGAUGAGUAUGUAGAUGGGGUUUCUCCCGUCAUUGAAUCACAGUACACGCGGGGUGAAGGAGAUGAGAGGAGCCUGGAACGUGAACAGCCAACUAUCCGUGUGAUAGCAGGAGGGCCAACCCUGGCUGGGGAUUCGAAUAGGGCACGGAAGAACUAUGGGAAAUACGCCAUGACCAGCAAAGAAGUUCUUUUCAAUUUGCCAGCAGCCAAGAAGGCAAAAUUGCGGCAAGUUCCCAUUAUGUGGACAGAUGACGAUAAAGAGGGUAUCCUAUAUCCUCAUAAGGAUGCACUGGUGAUUAAGGCAAUGGUGGCUGGUACAGAACUACGACGGAUACUGGUAGACACGGGCAGCUCGGUUGACAUCUUGUUUAAAUCGGCCCUAGAUGAUAUGGGGAUUGCAGACUUAAAAUUGGAACGGACGAACACAUCUUUAAAGGGAUUUGGAGGGGGACGGCUAACUCCCAUAGGAAUCGUCGAACUCCCAAUUACUAUGGGGACAAAGCUGUUUGAAAGAACAAUGAUGUUGGAUUUUGUCGUGGUAGAGGAGAGAAGCCCUUACCAGAUGAUACUGGGGAGACCGUUCAUGAAGAUAAGUCAAUGCGUUGUGUCUACGCAUUAUCUGGCACUAAAAUACAGAAUAAACGGAGCGGUUGGUGUAGUAAAAGGUGACCAGAGGGUGGCAAGGAGUUGUUAUGCUACAGCGGCCAAGGAGACGCUGCAGGUUACUUCCUUAGAUAAUCGAGGAGAACCUAAAAAGGGCCGCCAAGAACCUGUUGAGAAACUGGAGGCAGUUUCGGUAAGCAAAGGCGACCUGAGCAGAGUGGUGAAGAUCGGAUCGGGGUUGGUUGGUGCAGUCAAAGGCGAACUGGUAAAUUGCCUACAGUCUCAUGCAGAUAUAUUUGCCUGGUCUCACGAGGAUAUGCCAGGAAUUGAUCGUGGGGUAGCUUGCCACAAGUUGGCAAUUAAGAAGGGGGCGAGGCCGGUGAGACAGAAGAGGAGAUGCUUUAACCAGGAAAGAUACCCAGACGGACGAGAUGUGAAGAGGUCAUGGAACGCCGAGCACUUAAAGAAGUAUUUUCAGUAAGCAAAGUGCUCUGCUAAAUCCUCAUUUUGAUAAGUUUUCUUUGUUAACUGCAUGAUGGUUUAUUACGCAUGUACAUAGUCUGUAUUUUGUAAUACAUUCAAAUCGCAAUAAAGAUGAAUUCAGCAUGAAACCCUUCUGUUAAGCAAGGCCAUUAUAAUUUAUACCAAGGCAAGUAAGUGCCUGCUUCUGCUCGGUCAACGAAAGACCAGCAGCUAAAUUAGCGAAAUUUCUACCAAGGCAAGUAAGUGUCUGCUUCUGCUCGGUCAACGAAAGACCAGCAGCUAAAUUAGCGAAAUUUCUACCAAGGCAAGUAAGUGCCUGCUUCUGCUCGGUCAACGACAGGCCAGCAGCUAAAUCUACGAAAAUUAUACUAAGGCAAGUAUGUGCCUGCUUUAGUUCGGUCCACGAAAGACCAGCAGCUAAUACUACGAGAAUUCUGCUAGGGCAAAUAAGUGCCUAGUUCUGCUCGGUCAACGAAGACUAGCAACCAAUUUUAUUAAAAUUUUACUAAGACAAGUAAAUGCAUACUCCUGCUCGGUCCACAAAGAAACCAGCAAGCAAAAUCAGAUAAGUUGUCCAAUUAUUUUGCAGAAACCAUCUAUGAGCAAAUACCAGACAAGAAAGUCAAUAGAGAACAUCUAAAAGUUUAUAAAUGUUUGAUUGUCUACAAAAUAGAUGUAAAUCUAAAGUUUACACAGAAAUAGACUUAAAGAUUAGCAGGGUCAACGGCUCCAGCAGCUGAAGAAUCAGCAACCUCAGGAGGCGGGAGAUCGGCAAUACCGGGAGGAGGGGGCAUGGACCCUUGACCCACCUCGAAAGUACGUCCCCCGGCUUCCCCCUCCUGCACCCCCUCCAAAGGAGCCUCCGCCUGAUCCUGAUGACCUUGCUCCUUAUCUGCCUGGCCGGUUUCCGCCAUAUACCGCUGCACUCCAGCCUCCAGCUUACUCAUGUCCAGCUCGGGAUAUUCUUCUUUAAGCACGGACAUGAUACACUUAUAGGAGAAAGCAACCCCAGAGUCAUACUCGGCAUCCAGCUGGUCGUCCACAUCAGCGGAUUUGCCUUUCUCCUCAGCCAGCUGUUCAUUUAGGGAUUUGAUUUCUCCCUCAAGGGCAGUCCUCAGAGUAUCUCUUUCACUUUGAGUUACCUGAAGGUCAGACUUCAGGCUGCCCAACUCACCCUCGAGUUUGGAGGCAGUGGACUCAGCAAUUGCAGUUUUCUCCUCCAGCUCCAUAAUCUGUUUGUUCAGCUCGGCCAGUUUCUCCUUGGAGCGAUCAGCAGAUUCAGCCUUCUUUUUCAACUCCUGAUUAUCAGCUUGAAGCUUCCUCUCAUGGCGUAUGGACACGUUCUUGUAACACGAAACCAUGGUGGCCAGCCUGAAGGAAACCCUUUGAACAGAGGCAGCUAACUCGGAGAGCUCCAUACUCUCGAUGUCCUUCACCAUCUUGGGCCCAACCGACCUCUUGUAAUCCUUUUGGUACGGGCUCAAAUAGUCACCCUGAUCCCGAGAUGGAAGAGGAGAAGAUCGGUCCCCAGAUUGUAAGCUGACCUCAGGGCUCUUGUCGGAAGUUUUCUCCCCACUACUCUUACGAGGUGGAGGAGGGGGCAGAGCAGGAACUGGAGCCUGAGAAGGACUGGCACUGGCCUUUUUCGGAGGAGGAGGAGGGUGGCUGGAGCUGCUCGAUGCCCGACCACGCUUUCUGCUCAUCGCGCUGAGGAUCUUGUUAUCCAUCCCAGCGGCAAUAUCUACUAAGCCCGAACCGACCAGGUUUGUUGGUGACAGGAGGUCUUGACAAGUAGACGCGCUCACCAGAGCCGUUUCCACCUGGAGUAAAGGUCGGUCCUCGAGAGUCUUAACCAAACCCCACGAUUCUGAAAAAACAGACAAGGUUAAAGAACCCAAUAAGUGGCAAUUCGAGAAAGAAUAUAGGCAAAAAAUGAACGACCUGGGGUGACAAAUUGCGUUGGAAGGUAAAUGUCACCACCCAACGACCGAACUGCUGGACACCAAUUUCCCCCAGCAAAGAAGAAUUUGUUCUUCCAAUUUUUGCACGAGGAGGGGAAACCGGUGAUUGGCUUUCUCUUCGCAGAACUGGACAUGAAGUAGUACCAGCCCGCCUCCCUUGGGCUGCUCCGCAGCUGAUACAGAUGCUUCACUUCAACAAGGGAAGGCUCCUCCGACCCACACCUCUCCCACAACACAAACAUAGCCGAGAGAACCCUCCACCUGUUUGGGUGUAGUUGACCUGGGGCCAGGUGCAUACCCCCUAAAAUCUUGGCAAAAUAGCGCUGAAGAGGCAGCCGAGCUCCUAAUUUAAAGCUCUCCAGGUGCAUGGUCACGUACUCCCGCGGAGGCCGACUAGGAACAUCACCUUUCUCAGGAACCACAAGGAGAACCUCCUUAGGAAUAUCAUAGAGGUUCCUAAGCUUGAACAGAUCAUUUUGGGUGGUGGCACAGGCUAUGUGAUCAAUGGGGUAAGAAUCUGCCUCCAUCCUAUGCCCAAGGUUUUGUUUCUUAAGAGGUCGGCUCGGCUCGGCUCGGAGCUGCUUCCCUCACUAUCACCCGCUCCUUCAGGAACCCCGACCCCACCAGAACUGUGGUUCUCGCCAGAGCCCGACGCAGGUCCCCCUCUAUUUCCUACAAGCUCUAAUUCAGAGGAGGGUGAAAUGGUCAAGGGACGUGGGUACUCAAGGAUAUCCCUACUAUGGGAUAAGCCUACACUACGAGAGGGAUUCAAAAAAUCAGUGGGUAUGGGCAAGUUAAGGUCUGAAUCCCCAGAUUCUUCAUCACCCUCGUCUGCAAUCAACUUCCUUCUUCGAUUUGACAUACCGGAGUUCCAAAAGAAAACCAAAACAAACCCAAGUACACGAAUACAAAAAGAGACAGUACAGAACCCAAUCAACAACAGCCAAAAAAGAGGUUAAAGGCUAUACCUGGAAUGGACUAACAUUGGUAGCACUGCCGUGACAGAGAAAACACCCAGCAAAUGGAUACUCCGGACGCUGGAAAUGGGAGCAAAGUCCAGAAAAGAAAUUGGUUAGUGACGGAGAAACGAAUCGCAGAAUGAUGAUGAUUUUAGUCUAGGGAUUUGGAACGAAAAGGGGGGAAACGGAAGCAUUUAAGUGAUGGGAUAUGCCAGCUCACUCACCAUAUAUCGAGGAAGGAUAGCCCGUCGUUUCAAAUUUCAAAAUAUGAAGAGUCGGGAAGCGCCACGUCACUAACCGAUACAAGAGGCCAGACUAGAGCAAGCCCAGAUAUGCAAUGGACAGGCUCAUUAAGGCCCAUGCUCAGAAGACCAGAUGAGAAGCCCCGGGCUGGUCGGCUUCAACCAUCAGUUUCUACUCUUAACUCAUUUCACUCGCAAGACCAGAAACUGGGGGACUGGUGUUAAGUAAGUAAAAGCACCAGGUCGGCCGUGCUACUAUUUCCGCCCCGGUAUGGCUCACCUCAAUCGAAUGGUACAAGCAGAGCAUGGAGACGAAUAUGGCCCGACCAGAGAUGAGUACCGACCAGAGGUGUAUGCCGAGCCGAUACCCGUCUCCUGAAAAAGCGGGAACACGAUCCCACAGAAUCGCGGGAUUUGCGUUUUUCCCAGAACCGUUGCGAGAGAUGCGAUACCUCACGUUUACCCGUAAUGUAGCAGUUAAAGUUCCGUGAAAGGCCACCACCUGAAAAAGGAGGGAUGAAGACUGAGCGGGAACGUGGGAUAACGGCUAUAAAAGAAGGAGAAAUCGAUGAAGAAGGGGACAGAAAAAUCAAAAGAGGGAAAACGCUGCCAAAUUAUUGUCAGGCUAUCUUCUUGAAAAUUCCAGAUAAAUCAAAAACUACUCUUGAAUCUAAAUUGCUCUGUUUUCCCGUAAAUACCUUGACCUAACUUAGGCAUCGAAGGGUUUACGCCGGCAAAACCACCGGCGUCUUUGAUCCGUUCUUUUGUGAGCGUAGGUCUAGAAAGAGAAAGGAGGACGAGUCCAAGCCCCGCGGUUCGAACUUGAUAACAUAAUCGUUGGUGGAAAAUUCUGAUCGGUAACAAGGCGAGCAAAUUUAAGCAUCAACAAAAUGAAAAUAAAAAUUCAUUACGAAUACGUGUUAAAGAUAUCCCAAGUAUAGAUGUGACUGAAAUAUUUGAGAUUGAAGAAGAAUUAAGACUCAAAAUCAAUUGGGAGGAAUAAAUGAGAAACCCCAAUACCAAAAAAUACACGCACAAAUCCUAAUACUAAUUGUAAUCACGGAUAAAAAGCAUAAUACGAAUAAAUUAAAUGGGCAACUAUUCCAUUGAGAAAUUAAUUAAAUCGUGUAUUAAUAUUUUGUAUACAUAUAUUUUUCUAUAUAUAACUUUCGGUAAUUUAAUUUUCCACUUAUCAUUUUUACUCCAAAAAAAUAAUUGAGAAUAUUAUUUAUAUUUUGGUGCAAAAUAUUUGAACAAUAUACAAAUUUUCAGUUUAAUAAAUCUAAACAUCUAUUAAGUUAUAAAUGAAUUUAAUGGGUUUAAUUAAUAAAAUUACUAUUAUUAUAUAAAUUGGGUUUAGUAAUGGUAUAUUGGGUGGGUUUGUUGAGUAAAUUUUAAAAUUUUGAAAUUUAAGGAUGGGUUUAUUUAGUAAAUGAGUUAAGGGAGUAGUUUGUUGGGAUUCACAUAGCCCCACCAAAUUCAAAUGUAAAAUUUGUGGAAAAAGAAGCUAUUGAGUUAUUCUUUUAAAAAAAGAAUUAAAAUGUCAAGAAUACCUUUAUUUAAUUUUAUAAUCUUAUUUUAUAGUCAUAUUUUAUUUCCACCUUAACAUAAUUUUAAAAACCUUAACUAAUAAAUUCUAUAUUUUUUUUAUAAAAGUUAUCAUUAAUAUCCAAACGGCUAAAGAUUUUUUUUUUUUUAAAAAAAAAGGAACUAUGCUUACAAAAGUUGUAUACAUUAACAAUAAAUUUAGUCCAAAGAAUAAAGUUAUUCCAAACAAGCACUCCAAUUCAUCUUGCUAAUGAAUCAAGAUGACUGAAUCCUUCUCUAAGCCAAAUCUAUUUUCACUUUUAGGUCAGAAAUUGUCAUUAAAAAAAUGUUUGAUAAAAUAUGCUCUAGGAACACUAAUUCGUCAGAUGGUUACUCCAAGUUUAUGAAAUCAAUGGGAUUUCAUCAUAUUCAUAACAUUCUUCUUUAAUGUCUAUUCUAACAAAGAAAUCAUAUACAGAGAAUAGGUUUCGUUAAAACUUUUACUAGAAAAACUAACCACAAUUCACCAUUCAUUUAUAUCUUAAGUAAGCCUAAGAUUUUAUCAUUAAAAUCCCAUCAUGAAAAAAACUCAUGGGAGAAAAACUAUAAAAAUUGAAGAAAAAAGAGUAUGGCGUGCAUGUAAAUUAUAUCGAUUUUAUCUACAUGACAAAUAAGACUCUCUUUUACAAUGGCACGGAUGCUUCAUUGAGUAAUCAUGAUUCUUGCUGGUAGUGCUUUGUUGUAUCAAUCUGCUAGCUAUUCAGCGUUCUUUCUUUCUUUCUUCUUAUUUUUUUGUUUUCAAAUAGCUUGUGGUUGUAGAAAUAUUUCAAUUAAACUAUACUUAAGUACUUAUUUGGUAUAACUUCUUUACUAACCAAAAGAAUUUUUUUUUUUGGUUUUUUAUAAUUUAAUUAUACUUUAACUAGAGUUUUUGGGAUAAAACAAGUGAUAAUUUCUCUCUAUUAAGAAAAACUCAAAGGGUAGGGCUAUCUCAAUCCACCAAACUAUUUAUUAAAAAUCCACUUAUGAAAAUAAUUUUUAAUUAUUAGAAUGCCUUUACAUUAAAUUAUAAUUAUGGACACUAAAAUAUAAUAAAUUUUUUUUUUACUCUUUAAAACUGUCUUUACAUUUGAUAUCAUAUCUUUUUCUUAAAAUCUAAAUUGAUAUUUUUAUUUUAUUUUUUAUUAAUCUUAGAACACAUAUAAAGUGAUUCAUAUUGAUUUUAUACUAACAAACUAUCACAGCACAUUCGAAAAUAAUUAACUCGUUCUUAUUUGCAUAGUGAAAAGGCAAAUAGCUCAUCCAAAUGUUAAAGAACUGGAGAGCUGCUGCUGGAGAUGAAAGAUAAAUAAUUCUCACUUAGAAGAAGGAGAAAAAAAGGAAAUACAAUUAGAAUGAGAGGUAGCCAGUAGCCACUAGCCGCCACCACCACCAGUGAAACUAUUUCACAUAAUAGAAGAUAAAGCACGCGUAAUGGAGGCAAAAAGCAAGUAAUGAUAACUCUUUUCGACACACUAAUACAUAUCAAAAUGCAAUAUCGGUCCUAACAAAAUGAAAAUAAAAAUUCAUUACGAAUAUGUGUUAAAGAUAUCCCAAGUAUUGAUGUGAUUGAAAUAUUUGAGAUUGAAGUAGAAAUAAGACUCAAAAUUAAUUGAGAGGAAUAAAUGAGAAACCCAAAUAUUAAUAAAAUACACGUGCAAAUCCUAAUGCUAAUUAAAAUCACGGAUUAAAAAUAAUAAUAAUAUGAAUGAAUUACAGGCGCAACUGUUUCAUUAAGAAAUUAAUUAAAUCGUGUAUUAAUAUUUUGUACACAUACAUUUUUCCAUAUAUAACUUUCGGUAAUUUAGUUUUCACUUAUCAUCUUUACUCCAAAAAAAAAAUUGAGAAUAUUAUUUAUGUUUUGGUGUAAAAUAUUUGAAUAAUAUACAAAUUUUCUGUUUAAUAAAUCUAAACAUUUCUCCAGUUAUAAAUGAAUUUAAUAGGUUUAAUUAGUAAAAAUAUUAUUAUUAUAUAAAUUGGGUUUGGUAAUGGUAUAUUGGGUAUUUAAAUGGGUUUGUUGAGUAAAUUUUAAAAUUUUAAAAUUCAAGGGUGGGUUUAUUUUAGUAAAUGGGUUAAGGCAGCAAUUUCCCAAACUAAAAUUUUUAGAAAAAGACGCUAUUGAGUUUUUUUUUUUUUUAAAAAAAGAAUUAAAAUGUUGAGAAUACCUUUAUUUAAUUUUAUAAUCUUAUUUUAAAAAAUUUACCCAAUAAAUUUUAUAAUUUUUAUAAAAAUUAUCAUUAACAUCCAAACAGCUAAAGAUUAAAAAAAAAAAAAAAGAAGAAGGGAACUGUACGAGCAAAAGUUACAUUAACAAUAAAUUUAGUCCAAAGAAUAAAGUUACAGCUAAAAAGUGCUCCUAUCCUAUUUUUCUCUAUUUUAACAAUAAUCUUCUUCCAAUCCGUUUUACAAUGGACUUUAACAAAUGGGCUCAAUCUCUAAACUUCAUUUUCUUUUGCUUACCCAUGGCCAUUAGCCAGAAAGCCUAAAACAAGACCAGCCCAUAUAUAUAAUUUUUUUUAAAAAAAAGUAAAAAUGUGUGAGAGCUUGUAGCAUUACAAUUUUAGGAUCACAUGUGUAAAUGGAACCCCAACAUUGAUCAAGAAUUAACAAGACAAGAUGAAGAGAUGAUCUUGUAACUAAGAAUGAAGAAAUUGAAUCAAGACAGUACUCUAGUAAAACCCAGAAAACAGAGCUUGAAGAAUCACGCACAAAGCAGUAAAUUUGUAAAACCAGAAUUGGAGCUUCACUUCUCAAGAGAGACGAAACAGGAUACAGUCUAGCUUUAGCCAAAGUGAUAAACUCGUAAUUAUUCUACAAAGGGAACAAUUUUGAACAGUGGGAAAUUCCAUAAUUAUUCUUUUCGGUGAAUUAUUUUAAAUAAAAUUAUAAAAACCAAUAUAAAAUUAUUACCCAGUAAAGACUUUAGAGAGACAAGUGCUCCCAACAGGAUCAAGUGAAUAUGCCCCACAAAGAUCAUUUCUUGUUCUUUUUCUUUUUGACAAUUUUAUCUGUGGUUUCAACUUUUAUGCUUUAUUGUCGUAUCCCGUUGAGGGCUCCGCUGCACCCAUUACAACUUACCCCUAAAUUGCCUCUUACUAACUAAACCGUUAGAUUUUAUGGAAGCACGUUCAAUGCUGAAUUUUAAUUAUGUCAUCAAAUUUCGUUUAGCUCCUUAAACUCCAUUUUAUUUGUAAUUUCUUCAUAAAAUAUUCAAAGCUUCAUCAAGCUCCUGAUGGACCAUCAUGGCUAGGGGUGCAUUAGAGCCGAACUGAAAUAUGUUAGUUCAGUUCAGUUUGGUCAGUUUAAAUCGAAUGGUUUAGAAUAUAUAAACUGAUCAAUUUUAAUUUUUAAUUGAACCGAAAAUCAAUUGGUUCAUUAUUAGUAUUUUUUUAUAAACAUGAAUUAUUAGUGAUUGUAAUUAAAUUGGACUAAAAAAAAUUCAAACUAAGGUGAAAAAUAUAAAAUCUUAGACAAUAUAAAAGAAAAAAUAUUAAAUUUUUUUAACCGAAUUAUUUUGACUCAAUUUGGUUCAUAAUUUUUUAAACCAAAUGGAACCCUCAUAACAAAAAACUAACAGAAACAAUAAGAACACGAUGUUAAAAUCUUAAAUCAAUCGCAAAAAAGCACCCAAAACAGAUCGAUUAGGAACAGUUAACAACAAAAGAUUUGAUGGUUCAAAAUCAUAAUGUGACCUACUUCCAUCCAAGAAUUAUACUAAUUUCUUUACUAGUUGUCAAAUACAAGAUCACAAGAUUAUUUAUCACUCUAUAGAGAAAAAAUUUUUAGAAGAAAUACUCCCCAAUUUUUCUCUUGAUAGUUAUGAAUCAACACCCCUAGAAAGGCUAUUGAUUUACUUUUCCUUAUUUCAUAUGAUCGGUUGCUGCAACUUAAUCCUUGCCAAGUUCCAACAUAGUCCAAACAUUUUUCAUGGUACAUGCAUAGUGCACCUUCAGAAACUUUACAGCUCUUCUUAAAACCUCAGUUCUCGUGAUGUUUCUGAUUUAUUUCUGGGACGAGUAACACUUUUGUUGAACCUAGACCAGAUUUAGUAUCCAAUCAAGAAUUUCCAGGAUCUAGCUGAACUCUCUAAUCAAGACCUAAAGAAUAGUUAAUCAAAUCCACACAAAAGAAUCACCCAAAAACAGUAUACAAAGAACAACAAAUAUAAGUGGUUUUGAGAUAAAUGUAAUUGACUUCUGAGCAUGACUUAAUUUUGAGAUCAUUACUUUUAGUUAAAUGAUCUCCUCCAGAGCUUCUACCUAUGUAGUGUUUUUAGACCUCUAUAGUUGAUAAAGCACGUUCAAGGUGAAGGCUUGUUUUCCAAUCUAUAGUCCAAUUAUAGACUGGAAAUGGUCAGGCUUAAUGCACCUUCAAAAGCUUCACAAUUUGUAUUGAAACCUUAAGCCUCAGAAUGCUACAAAUUUUAAAUCCAUAUACUUAGUGCUCUUAUGAUUUGUUUGAUUUUUACUUAGAUGAAGAGCAUUUUAGCUAUAGAAAACAUUGUAACUAAUUCAAAGCAUGCCUUAGCUACGAGAUCAUUCAUUCUAGCCAAAUGCCCCCUUUAGAGAUUCUGCUAUUGUUGUGUAUUCAGCCUCUAUAUUUGGCAAAGCAAUUACAUGUCGAAGGCUUGCUUUCCAGUUAACAGCGCAAUUACAUAGAUUAAAGGUGUAACCAGGCAAAGAACUUAGUUAUUCUGCCAAGGUCUCCAACAUACUCCAAAUCCAUAUAACCACCAGACUUCAAUCUUUAGACUCCAUAGAUCAAACCAUAACUUAGUGUGCCUUUCAAUCUCAGGUAACAUUUUACUGUUUUCCACGUCUUGCCAUGUACUUGCUGCUAACACUAACAAUUUGAGAAAUGUUAGGCAUCGUAAGCAGCCGACAACACUCUUCUUCAUUUCUUCAUUGUCAAUUUCCUUCUUGGAACAUUGCUCCAUUGAGAGUCUGCUAUCAUUGCUCCAAUUAUUAUUAUUUUUGUUUUUUUAAAAAAAAAAAUUAACCGUGCAAUAAGAGUAUAAGACUAAGCAACGGUCCUUUUUUUUUUCCCAUUCUUGAACAUGAAGUAUUUGAGUAUGCAAUAAAAAUUGUUUAUUGAUAAUUAAAAGUUAAUAGUGGGUGGCUUUAGGAUUUGUUUACAAAAUUGACAACAAAUUAAGAUUUUUCAAAUUCAUAGGUAAGAAACUUUUCAUUUAUUCAUAGAUUUUCCGGUUUAAACUUUAAAGGAAACUUAAAAGAAAAAGAUGUAUCAUUAGAUUUGUAAUUAAAAAAAUUUAAUAUUGUAUGAUCUGUUCGAUAUGCAUAAUUUAAAUAAACAUUAAUAUAGAUGUUAUAUAUCCUAAAACUUAAUUGACUUAAUUCUUACGGUGCAAGGAAGACGUUUCCAAGUUUAAAUCUAAUUUGGGGUCGGGAAAGCACUGGGAAAUAAAUGUAACAAAGGAAAAAAGAAAAGAAUGACAGUCUGAGUGGAGCCAACACGGUUUUGAAAAAAGUGCAAAAAAGGGUUUUAGGAUAUAUUCUAUUAUCGUUUGUUUGCUUGCUUGUGGAAAUAAAAGUCUCAUGUUUCUUUGAAAGGUAAGCAAGUGUGAAUGUUUCUAUCUAGAGCUGGAAAAUGCAUUUCCGUGCAACUUACUUGAUGAAUGAAGUUUUCAUCUCUGACCUUGAUGUUUCCCAGAGCUGCAUUCAUUUCAGCUGAUCUAUUUCAUUUCGUUUGCAAAGGAGUGACACAAAACCUCCUUUGUUAAGGGGAGAAUUUAGAGUGGCUUCAACGGUUAACAAAUAGCCUAAUGUAAGACUUAAUCAAUUUCCUGCCCGGUUGCUUACCACUACUUAUCACUUUAACGUAUGAAACCUAAUCAAGAUUCCUUUGAUGAUUUUUCUAUUUGCUAAUUGAUUGAUAAGCUCUUCAGUGAAGAUAUAGUGUCCGCAAGCCAUAUGUUGAUAGAGUUAGAGUUUGCAGAAGCUACUGUACCAUAUGUUGUUAGAGGCGGUAAAAACGGAGGCAGAUCAACACACAUUUAAAUUUCAAUGACAAUUUACUGGAAAUAAAUUUCCUAUGACCCUACAUGUGACUAAUUGAUGAGAACUUGACAAUGACAAAAGAAAGUGUAUGAGCUUUGCAGGCUGGCUUGCCAAUAUUGACUGUAUGGCACCAUCCGCAAGUAAGUAUCAUUACUGUUUAAUCAACUUGGUGGAGUCCACUGGGACCACCCCACAUGGUCAGUCUUAUCUCUACUCCUAAAUUUUCAAUAUUCCAUACAUCAAACCAAUUGCAGUUUUGAUAUCAAAUUCAAUUUUAUUGUUGGUGACGAUUCUGAUUCCUUUCAUUCUCACAAAACGGAACCAUGGUUGCUGUUGGAGAGAUCUUACUCAACGCCUUCCUUGAGGUGUUGUUUGACAGGUUGGCUUCUCGUAAUUUGCUCCGCUUUGUGCGUCAACUCCAAGGCGGGGUUGAUUCGGAGCUCAAGAAGUGGGAGAAAAAGCUGAAGAUGAUUCAGGCUGUGCUCUGCGAUGCAGAGGAGAAGCAACUGACCGAUGAGGCUGUGAAGAUGUGGCUGGACGAACUCCAAGACUUAGCUUUUGACGCUGAGGACAUUCUUGAUGAGUUUGCUACUCAAGCUUUGGAAAGCAAGUUGAUGGCGCAAAACCAGGAUAGCUCUGGCCAGGUUCUCAGUCUCAUCCCGGCUAGUUUGAAUCCGAAUGCUAUUAUGUUCAAUUAUAGCAUGGGGUCCAAGAUUAAAGAUAUGACUAGCCGGCUGGAGCAACUCUGCCAAGAAAGAAUUGAACUUGGACUGCAACGGCUUACUGGAGGGGCGUCAUCAACCGCUGCUGCUGCACACCGGAGGCCACCCAGUUCGAGUGUCCGAACAGAACGUGAAGUAUUUGGAAGAGAAGAAGAUAAGGCCAAAAUUCUUGAUAUGGUCAAUACCCCAAGUGAUCACGCCAACUUUGUUGUAAUACCUAUUGUUGGAAUGGGCGGGAUAGGAAAAACAACUCUUGCUCGGGAGGUCUACAAUGACAAGGCAGUUGAGGAUUCCAAGUUUGACGUAAAAGCAUGGGUUUGUGUCUCCGACAACUUUGAUGUUUUCAACAUUUCAAAGGCACUUCUCGAGUCAAUCACCUCCGCAGCUAGUGAUCUCAAGACUUUAAAUGAAGUGCAGGUUCAACUGAAAAAAGCAGUGGACGGAAAAAGAUUCUUGCUGGUCUUAGAUGAUGUUUGGAACGAGGACUACAGCUUGUGGGUAGACUUAAAAGCUCCGUUCCUGGGUGCUGCACCAAACAGUAAGAUGAUCGUCACCACACGCAAUUUAAACGUUGCAUCAACAAUGGGACCAAUUGAACAUUAUAAUCUCAAGAGUCUGUUAGAUGAUGAUUGCUGGUCCAUUUUCAUACAGCAUGCAUUUGAAGGUAGAGAUCUUAACGCAUAUCAAAUUUCAGAAUCAUUCAGCAAGAAAGUUGUUGGCAAGUGUGGGGGCUUGCCUCUGGCAGCAAAAACGCUCGGGGACUUCUGCGCACAACAAGGCAUGAUGCGUGGGACGAUAUAUUGGAUAGCAAAAUAUGGGAUUUACAUCAACAAAGCAGCAUUCUCCCUGUGUUAAGAUUGAGUUACCAUCAUCUUCCGUCUCAUUUGAAAAGAUGUUUUGCUUUUUGUGCCAUCUUUCCAAAAGAUUAUGCAUUCACUGAGAGGGAGCUGACUUUCUUAUGGAUGGCUGGAGGUAUUAUUCGACAGUCAAGAAACAAUGAGCAGCUGGAAGAUUUGGGCAGCAAGUGCUUUGGUGAUCUAGUGUCGAGGUCAAUUUUUCAGCAAACAGCAAGCUCUGAUAGUUCUAAAUUUGUAAUGCAUGACCUUAUUCAUGAUCUUGCUGAAUUGGUCUCUGGAGAAACCAUAUUCAGGUUAGAGGAGGCCAAUACUCGGUCAAGAAGAUUUGAAAGGGUUCGCCAUUCUUCCUAUGCUUGUGGUGGAUGUGAUGGUAAAAAUAUGUUCGUGGUUUUCAAUGAAAUUGAACAUCUACGAACAUUCUUGCCAUUACGCUUACGCAGAAGAGGUGGCUCUAAUGCUGGUUACAUAACUCGUACGGUUCUAUCUGAUUUGCUGCCGAAGUUCAAAAGGUUGAGAAUGCUAUCUUUACAAGGAUACUGUAUUGGUGAGUUACCAAUUCCAUUUGAAGAUUUGAGACUUUUAAGGUUUCUCAACCUUGCUGACACUGACAUAAGAAGUUUACCCGAGUCAACAUGCAAAUUGCUGAACUUGGAAAUUUUUAUAUUAAGAAAUUGUUCCCGUUUGAUAAAGCUUCCACCCAAAAUGAGGAAUUUGAUCAAUUUACGCCAUUUGGAUUUAAGAGGUGCGAAGUUGCUGAAGGAGAUGCCAUUCGGAAUGAAAGAGUUGAAGAAGCUUCAAACAUUGUCCAAUUUCAUCGUGGGCAAGGGCGAAACUGCAUCUGGUUUGGAAGAUUUAAAAUGUUUAAACUUUCUUUGUGAUGAACUCUGCAUUGCUGGAUUAGAGAAUGUGAAUGGUCCACAGAAUGCAAGAGAAGCCGCAUUAUGUGAGAAGCACAAUCUUGAAGCAUUGACUCUAGAAUGGGGGUCUCAAUCUGACGGUCCUCGGGAUGCAGUACUAGAAGAGAAGGUACUUGACACUCUACAACCUCAUGAAUGUAUAAAAGAGCUGGCAAUCAGGCACUAUGGUGGUGCAAGAUUUCCACCUUGGAUCGGACAGCAUUCGUUCUCCGAGAUGAAGGUCCUUAAAUUGGAGAACUGUGGCAAUUGUGUAUCUCUGCCAUCGCUUGGCCUGAUGAGUUCACUUAAGCACCUUGCUGUUAAAGGGCUGAAGAAAUUAAAAAGCCUAGAGUCUGAGGUUUAUGGGGAGGGUUUCUCAAUGCCUUUUUCGUCACUGGAGAUUCUAAGUUUUGAGAAUUUGCCAGAAUGCGAGCAUUGGGACACCAAUAUCAAAGGAAAUGUGCUUGUUGAAAUAUUUCCUCGUCUCCAUAAACUUUCCAUUGUGGAAUGUCCCAAACUCUCCGGAAAACUGCCUGAGCUCCUGCCCUCCUUGAAGACACUUGUUGUUAGUAAAUGUGAAAAGUUGGUAGUUCCAUUGUCUUGCUAUCCAAUGCUUUGCAGAUUAGAAGUUGAUGAGUGCAAAGAACUAGUCUGCCGGACUCCGAUUGAUUUUAAGUUGAUAAAGUCGGUGACUAUUUCAAAUAGUUCAUUAGACAUGAAUGGACGCAAGGGGAUGCUAUACGAUGGUCCAGCUGGCUCUUUACUGCCAAAGCCCAUGACUACUACAAAUGUUUUGGAGUUUGGAAAAUUAUUGAAGCCUGGAUUUCAGAUAUUAGAAACUUUGGUAAUUGGCAAUUCUGAACAGCUCAAGUCAUGGAGGCAGCAUGGGGAUUUUCCGAAAAAAUACAUGGUCACUGACCAUGGGUUUAAGAAACCAGUACGAGGGCUGAAUAUGCUCGCUUCCCCUGAGGAGGUAUCAAUUGAAGAAAGUUGCGUACGUCUUGUUUUGUUUCCAGAGAUCAAUUUCUUUCCCAGAAAUCUGCGCUCUCUUCUAAUUAACAACAGCACUGCUUUGAAAUCCUUACCCGAGGAAAUGAUGGAAAACAAUUCACAACUCGAAAGGUUGUAUAUCAAGGAUUGCGACUCUCUAACAUUCAUCGCAAGACGGAGGCUACCAGCAUCUCUGAAAAGGCUUGAGAUAGAAAAUUGUGAGAAAUUGCAACGUCUGUUCGAUGAUGAAGAGGAUGCUUCUUCUUCUUGUCCUUCAUCCUCGUCUUCCCCAGUGAUGCUGAAACACCUGAGAAUCGAUAACUGCCCAGAGCUCACCAGUUUAUCAUCGGGUGUCCAAUUCCUUGAGGCGCUUGAAGACCUCAAGAUAGGGCAUUGUCCAAAGCUGGAGUCAAUACCGGAUGGCCUGCCCAAUCUUAAAUGUUUACAGAGCAUUUAUAUACGGGAUUGUCCAAGUCUUGUUUCCUUCCCAGAAAGAGGGCUUCCCCACACCAUUUCAGGGGUUUUCAUUGCGAGUUGUGUGAAGCUCGAAGCCUUGCCCAAUGAUUUGCACAAACUCAACUCUCUUCGAGGUUUAAGCAUACAGCUCUGUCCAAAUCUUGUAUCGUUUCCAGAAGAAGGUUUUCCUACCAAUCUAACAACCCUUGUAAUUGAAAAAUUCAAAUUGUAUAAGACACUCGUCCAGUGGGGGUUGCACAGGCUUACCUCUCUUAGAGACCUCUACAUCAUUGGAUGUGAUGAUGAAGCAGAGUGUUUUCCAGACGAGGAGAUAGGAAUGACGCUGCCCACCUCUCUCACUCAUCUGUCCUUUUGUGGAUUCCAAAAUUUGAUAUUUCUGUCUUCAAUGGGUUUUCAAAACCUCACCUCUCUUCAAUCAUUCCCAGAGGUGGGCUUUCCAUCCUCACUUUGGGGCUUAGACAUUAGAUAUUGUCCAAAGCUCAAAACAGCGUGCAAAAGAGAUGAAGGAAAAGAGUGGUCCAAAAUUGCUCACAUCCCUCGCGUUGAGAUAGACGGUAAAUUCAUAUACGAUCCAGAAGCAGAGGAGUAGAUUCUACUAUUAAGGUCAGUUGAUUUGUAUUAUCCGCUAUAACAAGCUCCUCCUUUUUUAUUUUUUUUUUUGAAAUAAUAAUUUUGCAGUCACUCACGUGAUUCCGUUUUCACAAGUCAGAUUGUACGUUGAGGCUAUUUGCCUUUUAAUCGCAGAUUAAAUUAUAACACUUAUCUUAAAAUUUAAUACCAUAGACAGAUAGACGAUUUUUUAAUCCAAAGUUUUUUUUAUUCACUUCAGUUAGCAUUUUUUUUUUCCCCAAAUCAUGCAAGCCGAGAGUUUCAAUCAAGAAUUGGAGGAUGUGAAUGGGAAUUUUGUGAAAGAGUAACAUAAUGGAUGAACGAACAUUUCAUAUGUGAUCUCAAAGUCAACAGAAUUUUAUUCACUCGUUGACUUUUCAACUGCUGUGGUUAUUUAUGGGUGAAAGAUAAGGGCAAUUACAAAAAAUUUGCAAAAUUUGUCCAUUUCUUAGAUGGUAGAAAUUGGAGUAUAAUAUUUUGGAGCAAGCAUACUUGAAAUUUCUUUCUUCAAUAUUUUGAUGCUUUCUUAUCCCAUGCACAAAAAUACUAGAAAAAACUAAUAACAACUAACCGAAAAUCCCAGGCGUCAUAUUCCUUUUUACCGCGUUUUAAAAUGCACAACAAUGAUAUUCUUACAAAUUUGCAAAAUUUGUCAAUUUCUUAGAUUUCAGAUAUUUUAAUGCUUUUUUUAAUUUUUGAUCUAGUAAAAAUACAUAGCCUUCACCGGCAAGAUUCUAGUCUUGGAUUUCACCUCUCUAACUCAUCUGUUCCCAUUGGGAUUCCAGAAAUUGAAAUUUCUGUCUUCAAUGGGUUUUCAAAGCCUCGCCUCUCUUCGAUUUUUGUGGAUCGGGAAUUGCACAAAUCUCACAUCAUUUCCCGAGGUCGAGGAAAAGAGCGGCCCAAACUUGCUCGCAUCCCUUAUUAGGUUAUGAUAGAUGGAAAAUUCAUAUACGAUCCAGAGUCAGAGGUGUUGAUUCUCUUAUUAAGGUCAGCUGAUUUCUAUUAUCCACUCUGACAAUCUCCUAUUAGUGUUUUUCCUUUUGAAAUUUUUUUUCCAAAAUUUUGCAGUUCCGUAUAAUUGAAAAUGCCAUUCAGUUGUUUCCUAAUAGUAUGUUGAGGCUAUUUGCUUUCUAUCGGUGUUUGUUAAGGUAAUUAGUGCUCCCUCGUAGGUGUGACUGGAUUUUUUUCACUUCCGUAAAUAUUGCAUUUUAGACUGGCAAAUUUAGCAGUAAUUUUAAUACAAUUUUGUUGGUGCCUUGUGUUCCAGAAGCUAGAAAAAUGUGUAGUUUUCAGAUAAGGAGGCUUGUCAGUUCUCUAGUAAGAAUCCAAUGAUUUGCUUUUGCACGUCCAUCUAAUUUGUGGAUCCUUGCAUCAGAAUUUGAUCAAUCCAAAAGGAAUUGCUUUUAGACAGAAGAAGAAUAGCAGCACCUAGCCUACCCGCAAACCUGAAACUAUUAGAUUGAGGUAAAAAAAUCAUUGACCCUCACAUGUUAACUUCUUCUAGUUACUUUCGUUGGGAAAAAAAAAAACAUUUAAGGAAUUUGCAAUUUGUUGUUAGUUAUGGUAUCUGAUGUUCUUUUCUGCUUUAGCGUUUGUAGAAUCUACUGUAUUAUGUGUUGGCAGUUGCCGUAUCUAAGGUAACUUGCCUUUAUUUGUUUGCUUCUGACUUAAGGACACCAACAUUUGCCAGAGAUUUAGAGAAUCAUCUCAAAACACUUAGCAAACUUGACAAACUUCAAGAUGCACUUGCCCCCACGCCUUAUUCUCAACAACGCAAAACUUGUGAGUACACCUAUGCCUGCAAUUAUUGUGAAGUGUUCGCAAUUCUGAUGCAGAGAAAUGGUUUCUUGAUGCAAAGUAUUAAACUGUUAAGAUUUAUCCUGCAGGCUUGUUAGAUGCUGGAUACGCGAAAAGCCAACAACAUCAAGAACUGCAACUCCAAGACCAGCUUUGCGUUAAUUCAGUCAGCUGUAAUAAUGAUGCAAAUGACACUAUAUCAAGCUGGACUUAGAGACUAGUCAGAUAAAUCAUCCAUUUCAUCAACGGUUAAUGUCAUGAUGGUGGCUAUCAGAGGAAACAAAAGAUGUGUCGGAAUCUAUACAAACAUUGAGAAGCAUGAGAGGAGCUUUGAUUUUGAGUAGGGUCAAUGAACUCAUAUUGGUAAGUGGUAAUUAAAGAAACUUUGUAAGCUUAGUAGAGUUUCAGUAUUUUCUGUUUGGAGUAUAGUUGAUAAGUUGACUCUGUUUAAGAAGCCCGAUUAUAGUAGCUGACUGUAUUAACCUUUUUUUUUUUUUUUUGGGUCUGCUGUUGUUUUUGGUUUCGAUUAUUUUUUCAACAUUGGGUUGAUCUGUUGAAGAACAAGCUUGGGUUUGAUUAUGCUUUAACUACAAGGAAGAGCCAGACUUGGAUGCAGGCGUUAAGCUUUUAAUGGGUAAGAACAAAUGAAUGCUUUAACUAUGUUUCUCACUUAUUAAAAUGCACGGAUUGAAGGCAUCUGGGUUGAUCCUGACAAUGUGAUGGAAAUACUUCUCUGUUUUCAUAUAACAGGACAAAUAGAGAUCUCUGAUCAUGCCUGAAUUUUUGUUGCAUUGAAAUUUCUACCAUUAUCAAACAUAGAAUGAACUAGGGAUACAUUAGCUUAAGACUAAAUUUUGAGAAGGAAGUUUGUACUUGCAGCCUAUAAAAUCAUGUCCAUGUUGUACGUUUCUUUGGGAAAUGAAAGAUUCUGUGUGUUCUUUUAUUUCAAGUUCACUGAAAUCACAUUUGUUUUCUCAGCUGCUUUCCAGAAGGUAACAACAUCAAUUUCAAAAAUGCUGGGGCAAGAUGUAUCAUGCAGUGCAACUCAACUUGAGAAUUCCUGGCCACAUUACCCGUAUGUCUAAUGAUCGCACAGUACAACCUUGAGAAGCUUGUAAUGAGUACACAACUGGGUGCAAGUAGUUUUGAAAUGAAUUUGCCUCAAAUGAUUUCUUGCCGGUGAUUAAUAUAACCUCUAUUCCAAAAUUCUUGGAACUGGUCAUACUAGCAAUGAAGGAUUGCAUACAUUGAAGACAUAGCUGAAGGCCUUGCGAGAGCUCUGUCAGCCCUUGUACCGGAAAACAGCUGGUCGUAGUCGCUUGUGAAUGAUAUGAUUAAUAGAUACUGCAAAAAUGAAUUGUGCCAUACAUUUUCAGCGCUCUGUGAAGAUGUCUUGGUCAUUUGUUUGAUGCUUGUUUGAUUUAUGUUGUAUUCAGCCAUAAAUCAGAGAUUCAGAACUUGGGUAUGUUUCUGGUUUCCAAAUCAAAAAAUUGCCUUGUGAUGUUAGUGUUCACUGUUUUCACAGGAGAUCAGGUUCCUUGUUAAUGAAUCAAGAAGAAGGCAAGCGCAUCCAUGUCCAAGUUCAAAUGUGUCUCCUCUAUUUUCUAUUACCCACUCAUUUAUUUUGAUUUCUUCAUUGUAAUUGAAUUAGUUUUUUAUUCCAAAUUAGUCAAAACCUCGUAGAGUCAUUAAGUUCUUUUAGCAUUUAAAGACAGAACUACGAACCAAAUGAUUUAAGUUCUUCGUUGUAAUUGAAUUUGCUUUCCCAUCUUUAAAGAUAUUAUGUUCUUUUUCACUUUUUCGAUUUGGUUAGUGGUGAUUUCUUAAAGACUCAAUCCAUUUGCGUUAAUACAUUUUUCUUUUGCCUUGAUUUCUGUUUCUUGGGGAGUUUAUACAUAUUCUUAUUUUAUGCUACACAUGCCAUAUACAGAUUCUUAUUUUAUGCUUCACAUGCCACAUGAAAGGUCAAAGCCUUGUGUGUGAUUAGAAUUUACUGGCAUCAUAGUAACUUUAAACCAUUGUGACGUUUUAGUAAUAACAGUCUGAGCUCUCCCUGAAGGAUUCAAAGCAUUUUAUUUUAUAUUAUACUCCUUUAUAUGGUUUGGCUGGUCUCUUUUAAGGCAAUUCCUGUUUAAAGUAAUCAAAAUUUUGAUUUCGAAGUGUCUUUCAACACUACCGCUAGUUCUUUAAGAAAAGUAAAUCGAUUUUGAGUCUUCUGUAUCAUCUGAUUGAAAUACAUGAAAGCACUCUUAGCUGCAAAAGUACACUUGGAGUUAUAAUAGCAUUCUGAAAUCUCCUUGAAGGAUUCAAAAGCUCUUUAUUUGCUAGUCUUUGCUUGCAAUAAACUCCUUUAAUAUAGAUUGGUUGAUCUUCUUUAAAGCAAUUACCAUAAGUUCUUUAAAUAAUAAAACGACUUUGAGUCUUAUGUAUCAUCUUGUUGAAAUACAUGAAAGCACUCUUGGCUGUAAAAAUGCACUUGGGGUUAUAUAUAAAGUCUUCAACAGAAUUUUAUUUCCCCCUUUAUCCUCAUGGUGGUCUUUUUAGUUGUUUUUUAAGAAAUCGCUUGAAGGUUCUCUUUAAAAAUAAUUUUAACAUAAGCAUUCUUUAGAAGCACUUUAGAUGUCUGGCAUUUAGAAAAUUUUGUUCCUGUGUUCACAUAAUAUAAUAUAUAUAUAUAGAAAGCUGACUGUAGAAUAGAGGAGAACGAGUUGGUGUUGGUCUGAACUCUGAUCUUUGAAUCUCAUGUGACUCCACUACUUUUUACUUGUUCUGUACAAGGUCUUUUAGCUUUUCAAAAAGUUUUAGCUUUAUGGAUAAAAUACUGUUAAUUGUAAUCUAUAAAUAAUGAAAGGAAUUAAUAAAAUAUUUGGUAAAUUUUAUUUUCUAAAGUGUUAUGAGUUCUAAAACGGCUGUAUGUAUAUAAAUUUAUUUACACAUAUAUUUAUAAAUAUGAUUAUAUAAUAAUAUUUUAUGUGUACAUAUCAUAAUUGAUAACUAAAAUAAAUAUUUUUAUUUUAUUAAUGGUUUUUCCGUCUCAAUGUAGUUGGUAAUAAUAAUCUCUUUAGAUGUAACGAUUUUAUUUCCUAACUGAAUAAGGAAAAUUUUAGAUUUUUAUAAUAAAUGUUAAAUAUAUAUAGAAUUACAUUAAGUAUGAAAUAAUCCUCAAAAUUAGAUUUGAAAAGUUAUUCUUUUCUUGCUUUUAAAAAUAUGUCAUAUGAUGAGAUAAUUUUACUAAAAGUGAUUUUUUUUUAAAAAAAUUACUAAACAUCAAAAUUAACUCUUAACUUUUUAAAAUCAUUUCUAAUCUUCUCAUCCUAAGUUCUUUAUUGUUUUGUACAAAAUCCAAGGUUUUGACUUUUAUAAAAUGCCCACUCAAAAAUAAAUUAUUUUCUAAUUAAGAUUUGUUGUUAAUGUAUAACUCGAAGUAAUAUUAGAUAUUUGUAAUUUUAUUUCAAAAAUUUUAUUCAAAUGAUAUGGCAAGCAAUGAACAAUAGUUGAUAGCAAUUUUUUUUUUUUAACAAUGUUCAAAUCAAUCAGUUGCAUUAUCUCACCAUUUUUAUGAUGUCAUGUUAUUUUAAAUGAUUUUUUUAAUUUUUAUAUAAAACAUACGACGUGUUAACAUCAUUUGCAUAACUUGACCUUUUUUUUUUUCCUACAAAUAGUGUUUAAAAUUCAACACACAGAUGUGCCUCUUUCUUACUAUACUGGAAUCCUCGGUAAACUUUUUGUUUGCGCAAUUUAUGUGAGCAAAUUGUGUCUUCUUUUUCAUAUGUAAAUGUUUUUGAUAUCUUGAUGUGAAGGUAGAAAAUUGCAUGUUUUGAGUUUUUGCAUAUUUGAUGGAAACACAGAACCGUACCUGAAUAUUUCAGAACCCCCUUUUCUUUGAAGUUUGAACACUUUUCUUGAAUGUAUCAACUUUAUUUAUGGGAUAUGUUGCCAAAUUGGCAAAUCUAUUCGUUAUAAAACUUUCCUUUGACAGUUUAAUCUAAGCAGAUGUUAAUUCUGCAAAUAGAGUGUGCCUUAGAUUAGUUUCAUAGAUUUGUCUCCUUCUGUACAGUAAAAACUUUGAGCAUUUUCGCCAUAUUCUGAUCAAUACACUCCAACUAGUUAGUUCUUGAGGCGUUUUAUGGUUUCGUGGAGUGAGGCAAGAUGUAUACGUUUGCAAAUUGGCAAUGUCUUUUGCUUGAUGGGUUGAGAGUUGUGAGUGUCAACAGGAAACAAGACCUCUGUUUUAUGAACUCCAAAAAGUUAUUCUGUUAGAAAGAUCGAGACAGAGGCCAUACUAUAUUUAUUAUUGCUAUAAAAGUGUGAAAAAAUAUUCUUUAUUUAAUAUUCUAAACGAUUGAGCCAUUUAGUUAUGAUAUUCUGCUGUAUUGGGGCUAAUAAUCUAAGUCGGUUCAAAGUGGUAAAUUUAUAAAUUGAUAGGUAUGCCUGGUAUGACCGCUUACGUUGGAUUUUAUGAGGUCUGCUCUCCUAAGCAUGGAGAGUGUGUCUUCAUAUCAGCAGCAUCUGGUGCAGUUGGUCAGCUUGUGGGGCAGUUUGCAAAGUUAUUGGGCUGCUAUGUCGUCGGAAGUGCUGGAAGCAAAGACAAGGUAGGUUAUCUGUGUGAAGUACUUGAUUGUUUCCGUGUUACUUUCAAACAUUUAAAUUAAAAAGGAAAUUUUCAUAAUCUUGCCUUUUCUAUGAUUUUCAAAACCAAGGUUGAUCUACUGAAGAACAAGUUUGGGUUCGACGAGGCAUUUAACUAUAAAGAAGAAGCUGAUUUGAAUGCAGCAUUGAAAAGGUUAGCAUCAAUAAAUGCCUUAGCUUGAUGCAGCUUGAUGAAGUAUGAUACACAUUUCUGACCAAUAUACUGCGUUCCCUGAUCUCUUACUUGAAAUAUCUUGGUUUGAGAAUCUCAUGCCAAUGCCUUUAACAUUUUGGCAGGUACUUUCCUGAAGGAAUUGAUAUAUAUUUUGAAAACGUUGGUGGAAAAACGCUUGAUGCAGUGCUACCCAACAUGAAAAUCCGUGGUCGAAUUGCUGCAUGCGGUAUGAUCUCACAGUACAAUCUUGACAAGCCUGAAGGUGUGCACAACUUGAUGUAUCUUGUUUCGAAACGGCUUCGAAUGGAAGGAUUCAUUGUUCUCGAUCACUAUCACCUCUAUCCAAAGUUUCUGGAAAUGAUCAUUCCUCACAUCAAAGAAGGGAAGCUUGUAUACGUCGAAGACAUGGCUGAAGGUCUUGAGAGUGCUCCGGCAGCUCUCAUCGGUCUAUUCUCUGGCCAGAAUGUUGGGAAACAGGUGGUUGCUGUUGCUCCUGAAUGAAGAACAAGUUAGUGUUGCAGUUUGAAUGAUGCUGCUGCACAACUGCUGCCGAAAAAAUCCUUAAUAGAUGAUUAGCAAGGUUUCAAAAAUAAAAAGAAAUGUUUGUGCAACGUGCCGAAUAUGACAGCCACAAAGAAAGAGCAUACAAAUUGAUUGGUUUUAUGUCUUCUCUAGGAGAAAGCUACAAUACAAGAAAUUGUAUUGAUGGAGCCAUGGACCAAAUUUCUUAUUUAAACUUUUAAUUUUUUUUAUUAAAAUUACUUAUGUUAUUAUGGUUUAUAUUUUUAGAAAUUCUUUAGAAAUUAAUACAGAACUAGUAGCAAGUUGAGAAAUCUACUGAAUAGUCGAGAUAUGAUCAUGUUUAUUGAAUUAAAUUGACAAUCAUCAUUUUGAUAAAUUAUUGUUAGGAUAUUUGAUUCAUCACAGGUGUAAGUAACUAAAUGUGCUAAAAAAAAAGUUAAUGAGUUGUGAGUGUUUGAUAUUCGUUUGUUGUAAUUCUUUUAAUAAUUGUUGUGGGAAAAAAAUUAUGGUAAAAAAAUUAUAAUUAUAAAAUAAAAAUUAAUAAUAUAUUAUAAAUAAAAUUUUUAAAUAAUAAUUUUAAUAAAAUAAUAAAUAUAUUAUGAAUUUUUCAUUAUAAAUUUUUAAGUUAAAAUAAUAAAUAUUUAUUAAAUAUUUUAAUAGCACAACUUUUAAAUUAUAACAGUACAAUGUAAAUACCAGAGGUCUUAAAAAAUAAAAUUACAGUCAAGUUUUAAAACUGUUAAUAAUGCUAUUCAUAAAGGCGCUCGUCGUGUAAACAACACAUGGGACCCAACCAAUAAAUGUUUAUGAUCCUCAACUUUCCUCCUCACCGUCCCUGCAAACAAUUCUGAUCUUCUUGUCUGAGAAAAAAACUGAGAAACAAUGGCGGCCGAACAAGAAGCUGUGAGCAAUAAGCGGGUGAUUCUAAGCAACUAUGUGACAGGUUUUCCAAAAGAAUCGGACAUGAAGAUAACAUGUGGAUCAAUAAAACUGGAGGUAGCAGACGGUUUAAAAGACACGGUGCUUUUGAAGAAUCUUUAUAUUUCUUGUGAUCCUUACAUGCGAGAGCGUAUGAGCAAGCUUGAUAGACCUUCUUUUGUUGAUUCAUUCCAUCCUGGUGAGGUUAGUUCAUCACGACCCAUCUCUUGAUUUUUUUUUUUUUUUCAUUUGCUUCAAGUUUUGAUGAGUUUCUGAGGUCAUUUGUACGGUUUUGGAAUGUGAACACUAUUAGUGAUUUUGGGGCUGUAACUGUCAUUAAUGAUAUGUAGUAAUUCAAUCAGAAUUUGGAUUUAGUGCUGAUAUGAUCUCUGCUCAUUUUUUAAAAUCUUGUGUCCAGAUGCAUUUUUAUAAUCUUGUACGGUUGAGAUUGUAUGUAGAUUAAUCUACGUGCAGUAUUCUUGUCUAAUGACUACUAACCACAACCUUAUGAGACGAUCGAAACCAAGCUCAGAUCAAUAAUCCAAUUGAGAGAGGGUCCUAACUCAAGCUUAUCGUGUGUAGGAAUAUUUCGGUUAAAUUGUAAUUCUUUUAAUAAUUGUUGUGAAAAAAAAAAGUUAUGAUAAAAAAAUUAAUAAUUAUAAAAUAAAAAUUAAUUAUAUAUAAUAAAUAAGAUUUUUAAAUAAUAAUUUUAAUAAAAUAUAAUAAAUACAUUAUCAAUUUUUCAUCGUUAAUUUUUAAGUCACAACCACAAAUAUUUACUAAACACUUUAACACCAUAAUUAACACCACAACUAUUGAAUUAUAACUGUACAAUCUAGACGCCAAGAGGCCUUAGUAUGAAAAAAAAAAAUUACAGUUAAGUUAAAAUUCAUCAUACAGAUGUGCCACUUUCAUACUAUACCGGGAUCCUCGGUAAUGAUUUUUGUUACACAAUAAGAUUUGCUUAUAGUAAUAUCAAUACAUAUGCUGCUUAAAUGCUUUCUGAUUUUUUGCCGGCCAUUGUCCAUUUUGCCAGGGAGUCUAUAAUUGAAGGAAUUUACUGAAGGAAUGCUGAUUGUUGGGAAUUUGAUUAUUCUAGGUAUGCCUGGUGUAACUGCAUACGCUGGUUUAUACGAAGUUUGCUUUCCGAAGAAAGGAGAGUAUGUCUAUGUAUCUGCAGCAUCUGGAGCUGUUGGUCAGCUUGUUGGACAGUUUGCAAAAUUAGCUCGUUGCUAUGUUGUUGGAAGUGCAGGAAGCAAAGAAAAUAUAGCACCGUGCCUUCUAGCAGAAUUUUACUUGCUUUAUGUUCCAACUAAGCAUCCAUAUUUGAUCAUGAUAAUUAGCAAGGUCAAUAAUUUUUUUUUGACUAUUUUUUCAACGUAAGGUCGAUUUGUUGAAGAACAAGUUUGAACGAUGCUUUUAACUACAAGGAAGAGCCUGAUUUUGAUGCAGCACUCAAAAGGUCAGCUGCAACAAACGUUUCAACUCUAAUAUUUCAUUUUAAUAUUACAGAGCUUUGGUUGAAGUGUGUGAGUUGAUCCCAGAAACGUAACUUCAUCAGUGUCUCUGUUUUCAAAAAACAUGACAAAUAGAAAUCUGAUUUUGCUUUAAAAUUUCCCAGAUGCUUCCCUCAAGGAAUCGACAUAUAUUUCGAAAAUGUUGGGGGAAAGAUGCUGGACGCAGUGCUACUCAACAUGAGGCUCCGGGGCCGCAUUGCAGUAAGCAGUAUGAUCUCACAGUAUAACCUGGAAAAACCCGAAGGCGUACACAACUUAGAGCAACUGAUCGGGAAACGGAUUCGCCUGGAAGGAUUUCUAGCUGGUGAUUACUAUCACCUCUAUCUGAAAUUCUUGGAACUGGUCAUUCCUCCAAUCAGAGAAGGAAAGAUGCUGUAUGUGGAAGACAUGGCCGAAGGACUCGAGAAAAUUUCUCGUAACUGCUACACAUUAAACGCGUUUCACAUUUCCACUCUCUUUCUAUAAAUAAAUACGCACAUAAAAUUUCUCACCAUCCAAAAACAAAAUCUACAUAAAAAAUGGCGGGUGAAGAAGCAGUGAGCAACAAGCAGGUGAUUCUGAGCAACUACGUGACAGGGUUUCCCAAGGAAUCAGACAUGAAGAUAAUAACAGGCUCAAUAAACCUUAAGGUGCCAGAGGGUUCAAAAGACACAAUGCUUUUGAAGAAUCUUUAUCUUUCCUGUGAUCCUUACAUGAGAGGACGUAUGAGCGAGCUUGAUAAGCCUUCGUUUGUUGCCUCAUUCGAGUCUGGCGAGGUCAGUUACUUCAAUUCCCAUCUCUUGGUUUCAUAAUCUUUUAUGGUUUUAGAAGGUGUUUUAGGGAAACAUUGUGGUUUUGGUUAGUGGGCAUGAGUCUUUGAAGAGAUUAUAAUGUGUAGGACUAUGCAUGCAAUAAUAAGCAUAGGGGAUCUUGUUAGGAGAAGAUUCUCUUAGCAAAAUAAAAACUUUUAUCUUAUCAAAACAUAUGCAGGGAACUUAGUUAUGAUGUCAUGUUAGCAUUGUCUCUGAGGAUUUGAUUUCUUGAUGGGGAAAGGGGAAUUUAAGGUUACAUUAUUCAGCAAUGGUUUUUUUUUUAAAUUAUGUUCAAAUUAUGCAGCCUUUAAGCGGAUAUGGAGUGUCCAAAGUGUUGGAUUCCACGCCUCCAAAUUAUAAGAAAGAUGACUUGGGUGGUGUUUGUUUUUUAACUUAAUGACUUAAAGUGACUUAACUUAAUUAAUUAAGUUAAUUAGAGAUGUUUGUUUUUAUAACUUAAUGUGACUUUUUAAAUAAUUUUGACUUAAUAAAAUAAGCCAAUUUUAUUUACUUUUUACUUAAUAGAGACAUCUGAAUUAAGUCAAGUACUUUCUAAUGUCAAAAAUAUACAUGCUUUAUAAUUUAUUUUUCAUGUCUAUCCCAAAACUCACCCAUAGACAUUUACCCCACAUAAUAAUCUCAUCAUUAUUUUUUUAGCCGUCAUGAAAUCCCUCCUCACUUUGGUAUCAACUCCUCAACUAUUGAAGAUCAAAAUUACAUGCGACAACUUCGAGAUGAAUGGCAAAUCAACUGUUUCAAGCAUCUUAUUAGUUUUUUUUCUUUUUUAUAUUAUAUACGAUAAAAUUUGAAAUUUAUGGUAUUUUAUAUAUUAAAAUUCCAAAAUCAUUAUAUAUUCACUUGAAUAUAGUUUUACUUAUAAAUGUUAAAAUAUUGUGAUAUUUAAUAUAUUGUUUAUUUGACAUUCAAAUUUAAUAAGGAUACAAAUGUAAAAGUACAUAUUUUUCAGUUUUUUAAGUUGAAAAAAGAAAACAACUUAAUAAUUAUUUUUCGAGAUUCAGACGAAAAAACAAACAUAUUAUUCAGAUUCAGACAUUCAGAUCUAUUCAGAAUUUAGACUAAUUCAAGUCUAUUCAGAUUUCAGAUAAAAAAACAAACGCCACCUUGGUCCGGGGCUUAACCAGUUGGGAGGAGUUCAGUCUCAUCCAAUCACCACAACUUCUGAUUAAAAUUCUGGAUACAAGUGUGCCUCUGCCAUAAUUAAUUGACAGGUUGCUAUGUUGUUGGAAGUGCCGGAAGCAAAGAAAAGGUGAGUUUGCACCCUUAACCCUUACGCUCUAAAUAAAAACAUAACACCUUCUGAAAGAAUUGUGCAUAGAGAAUUUUGCAUGUCACAUUAUUUGUGUUCUAACUAAUCAUGGAUAUUUGAUCAUUAGUCUAACUAAAACUGACAUAUUACCACCUAGUUGACUGGUCUUUGAGAAAUGUUAGUUGAUAUAUGCUUGAAAUCAUACUUUGUUUUAUUAGAUGAUUAUAUUAACCUGCUUCUUUUUCUUUGUGCUGUUUCUCGUUUGAUUACAUUUUCAACAUUAGGUCGAUCUAUUGAAGCACAAGUUUGGGUUUGAUGAUGCCUUUAACUAUAAGGAAGAGCCUGACUUGGAUGCAGCUCUUAAUAGGUUAGCACGAAUGAAUGCUUUAACCAUUUUUCUCACUUCAUUAUUACAAUGCGCUGAUUGAAGUAAUCAGUGUUGGCUCUGAAAAUGUAACGUAUACUUCUCUGUUUUCAUAAAACAGGACAAACAGUGAUCAGUGAUCUCAUUCGUUACAUUGAUAUUUUCUACCAUUGCCAUACAUAGUAUAAACUAGGAAUUCAGUUGCUUAAUAGAUAUUCAUUUCAGAGGGAAAUUUUCACUUGCAGCUAACAGAAUCAUGUUUGUGAUGUAUGUUUAUUUGGGAAAUGAAAGGAUUUGUUGCAUUAUUUUAUUCCAAGUUUGCUGAAAUCAUAUUUGUUUUCCCAGGUGCUUUCCUGAAGUUAUCGACAUCUAUUUCGAAAAUUUUGGGGGUAAGAUGCUUGAUGCAGUGCUACUCAACAUGAGAAUUUGUGGCCGCAUCGCUGUAUGCGGAAUGAUCUCACAGUACAACUUUGAGAAGCCUGAAGGUGUACACAACUUGAUGCAAGUAAUUGGAAAACGAAUUCGCAUGGAAGGAUUUCUUGCCAGUGAUUUCUACCACCAAUAUCCAAAAUUCUUGGAACUGGUUAUGCCGGCAAUCAAAGAAGGAAAGUUAGUAUAUGUCGAGGACAUAGCUGAAGGCCUCGAGAAAGCUCCAUCAGCCCUAGUUGGGAUAUUCACAGGUCAAAAUGUUAAAAAACAACUGGUUGUAGUUGCUCGGGAAUGAUAUGAUUACUAUAUGCUUUAAAAAGUGGACUUUGCCAUGCACUUUAAAACCUUAGUGAAGAUGCCUUUGUCUUAUUUUUGAUACAUGUUAUGUUUGUUUGAUCAAGUUGUACUCAGCUAUAAAUCAAAGAUUCAGAACAUGUGUAUGAUACUGGUUUCUAAAUCAAUGAACGCCUUGAAAUGUUAGUGUUUUCACAGGAGAAUGCAAUUUAAUUCAUCAACAAUGUCCCAACAAGACCCUCAGAGCUGUAGCUUGUAAAGUUAAUUACGAUAUUUUUUUGUAAAGUAAAUUACCAUAUUUUUUUCUUUCCAAUAUAUUGCUUAUUUCAUAGAAAGUUUACAUUAAAGUCUCAUGUUUCUUUGAAAGGUAAGCAAGUGUGAACGUUUCAAUCUAGAGAUGGAAAAUGCAUUUCCGGGAACUUACUUGAUAAAUGAAGUUUUCAUCUCUGACCUUGAUGUUUCCCACAGGUGCAUUCAUUUCAGCUGAUCUAUAUAAUUUUGUUUUCGAAGGAGAGACACAAAAUCUCCGUUGUUAAGGGGAGAAUUUAGAGUGGCUUUGACUGUUAACAAAUAGCCUAAUGUAAGACUUAACCAACUUCCUGCCCUGUUGUAUGCUUAUGAAUUUUGAUAGAGCUAAGAGUUUGCAGAAGCUAUUGUAUUAUAUGUCGUUAGAGGCUGUAAACAUCAAACACAUUUAAAUUUCAAUGAAAAUUUACUGGAAGUAAAUUUCCUUUGAUCCCACAGGUGACUAAUUAAUGAGAACUUGACAAUGACAAAAGAAAGUGUAUGAACUUUGCAGGCUGGCAUGCCAAUAUUGACUGGGUGGCACCAUCCACCAUCUGCAAGUGAAUAUCAUUGUUGUUUAAUCAACAAGGUGGAGUCCACUGGGACCACACCACAUCGUCAGCCUUAUCUCUAUUCCUCAAUUUUCAGUAUUCCAUACAUCAAAACAAUUUCAGUUUUGUUAUCAAUUAUAAUUUCAUUGUUGGUGACGAUUCUGAUUCCUUUCUUUCUGACAAAACGGAACCAUGGUUGCUGUGGGAGAGAUCUUACUCAACGCCUUCUUUCAGGUGUUGUUUGACAGGUUGGCUUCCCGUGAUUUGCUCAGCUUUGUCCGUCAACUUGGAGGCGGGGUCGAUUCCGAGCUCAAGAAGUGGCAAAGAAAGCUGAAGAUGAUUCAGGCGGUGCUCAACGAUGCAGAGGAGAAGCAACUGACUGACGAGGCUGUGAAGAUGUGGCUGGACGAUCUCCAAGACUUGGCUUAUGACGCUGAGGACAUUCUUGAUGAGUUUGCUACUCAAGCUUUGGAAAGCAAGUUGAUGGCGCAAAAUCAGGAUAGCUCUGGCCAGCUUCUCAGUUUCAUCCCGGCUAGUUUGAAUCCGAAUGCUGUUAGGUUCAAUUAUAGCAUGAGGUCCAAGAUUAACGAUAUUACUAGCCGGUUGGAGCAACUCUGCAAAUAUAGAAUUGAACUUGGGCUGCAACGGAUUCCUGAAGGGGCAUCAUCAACUGCUGCUGCUGCACACCAGAGGCCACCCAGUUCAAGCGUCCCACCAGAACGUGAAGUUUUUGGUAGAGAAGAAGAUAAGGCCAAAAUUCUUGAUAUGGUAUUGGCCGAUAGCCCAAGUGAUCAUGCCGACUUUGCUGUAAUACCCAUUGUUGGCAUGGGCGGGAUAGGAAAAACAACUCUCGCUCGGGAGGUCUACAAUGACAAGGCCGUUGAACAUUCCAAGUUUGAUGUAAAAGCAUGGGUUUGUGUAUCUGAUGUCUUUGACGUUUUGGGCAUCUCAAAGGCGCUUCUCGAGUCAAUCACCCGCAGGCCAUGUCUUCUAAACAGUUUAAACGAAGUGCAGGUUGAAUUGAAAGUAGCUGUGGAUAAAAAAAGAUUCUUGCUGGUCUUAGAUGAUGUUUGGAACGAGGACUACAGCUUGUGGGUAGACUUAAAAGCUCCGUUCCUGGGUGCUGCACCAAACAGCAAGAUGAUCGUCACCACACGCAAUUCAAGUGUUGCAUCAACAAUGAGACCCAUUGAUCGUCACCACACGCAAUUCAAGUAUUACGAUCUCAAGAGUCUGUUAGAUGAUGAUUGCUGGUCCAUUUUCAUAAACCAUGCAUUUGAAUCUACAGACCUUAGCGCACAUCGAAUUUCAGAAUCAUUCCGCGAGAAAGUUGUUGGCAAGUGUGGGGGCUUGCCUCUGGCAGCAAAAACACUCGGGGGCCUUCUUCGUACUAAAACGCAUGCUGAGUGGGACGGUAUAUUGGAUAGCAAAAUAUGGGAUUUACCUCGGCAAAGCAGCAUUCUCCCCGUGUUAAGAUUGAGUUACCAUCAUCUUCCUUCUCAUUUGAAAAGAUGUUUUGCUUUUUGUGCCAUCUUUCCAAAAGAUUAUGCAUUCACUGAGAGGGAGCUGACUUUCUUAUGGAUGGCUGGAGGUAUUAUUCGACAGUCAAGAAACAAUGAGCAGCUGGAAGAUUUGGGCAGCAAGUGCUUUGGUGAUCUAGUGUCGAGGUCAAUUUUUCAACAAACAGCAAUCUCUGAUAGUUCUAAAUUUGUAAUGCAUACUUGAAAUUUCUGUCUUCAAUAUUUUGAUGCUUUCUUAUCCCAUGCACAAAAGUACUAGAAAAAACUAAUAACAGCUAACCGAAAAUCCCAGGCGUCAUAUUCCUUUUUACCGCGUUUUAAAAUGCACAACAAUGAUAUUCUUACAAAUUUGCAAAAUUUGUCAAUUUCUUAGAUUUCAGAUAUUUUAAUGCUUUUUUUAAUUUUUGAUCUAGUAAAAAUACACAGCCUUCACCGGCAGGAUUCUAGUCUUGGCUUUCACCUCUCUAACUCAUCUGUUCCCAUUGGGAUUCCAGAAAUUGAAAUUUCUGUCUUCAAUGGGUUUUCAAAGCCUCGCCUCUCUUCGAUUUUUGUGGAUCGGGAAUUGCACAAAUCUCACAUCAUUUCCCGAGGUCGAGGAAAAGAGCGGCCCAAACUUGCUCGCAUCCCUUAUUAGGUUAUGAUAGAUGGAAAAUUCAUAUACGAUCCAGAGUCAGAGGUGUUGAUUCUCUUAUUAAGGUCAGCUGAUUUCUAUUAUCCACUCUGACAAUCUCCUAUUCGUGUUUUUCCUUUUUAAAUUUUUUUUCCAAAAUUUUGCAGUUCCGUAUAUUGGUGUUUGUUAAGGUAAUUAGUGCUCCCUCAAUAUUGCAUUUUAGACUGCCAAAUGUAGCAGUAAUUUUAAUACAAUUUUGUUGGUGCCUUGUGUUCCAGAAGCUAGAAAAAUGUGUAGUUUUCAGAUAAGGAGGCUUGUCAGUUCUCUAGUAAGAAUCCAAUGAUUUGCUUUUGCACGUCCAUCUAAUUUGUGGAUCCUUGCAUCAGAAUUUGAUCAAUCCAAAAGGAAUUGCUUUUAGACAGAAGAAGAAUAGCAGCACCUAGCCUACCCGCAAACCUGAAACUAUUAGAUUGAGGUAAAAAAAUCAUUGACCCUCACAUGUUAACUUCUUCUAGUUACUUUCAUUGGGGAAAAAAAAACAUUUAAGGAAUUUGCAAUUUGUUGUUAGUUAUGGUAUCUGAUGUUCUUUUCUGCUUUAGCGUUUGUAGAACCUACUGUAUUAUGUGUUGGCAGUUGCCGUAUCUGAGGUAACUUGCCUUUAUUUGUUUGCUUCUGAGUUAAGGACACCAACAUUUGCCAGAGAUUUAGAGAAUCAUCUCAAAACACUUAGCAAACUUGACAAACUUCAAGAUGCACUUGCCCCCACGCCUUAUUCUCAACAACGCAAAACUUGUGAGUACACCUAUGCCUGCAAUUAUUGUGAAGUGUUCGCAAUUCUGAUGCAGAGAAAUGGUUUCUUGAUGCAAAGUAUUAAACUGUUAAGAUUUAUCCUGCAGGCUUGUUAGAUGUUGUAUACUCGAAAAGCCAACAACAUCAAGAACUACAACUCCAAGACCAACUUUGCGUUAAUUCAGUCAGCUGUAAAAAUGAUGCAAAUGACACUAUAUCAAGCUGGACUUAGAGACUAGUCAGAUCAAUCAUCCAUUUCAUCAACGGUUAAUGUCAUGAUGGUGGCUAUCAGAGGAAACAAAAGAUGUGUCAGAAUCUAUACGAACAUUGAGAAGCAUGAGAGGAGCUUUGAUUUUGAGUAGGGUCAAUGAACUCAUGUUGGUAAGUGGUGAUUAAAGAAAUUUGUAAGCUUAGUAGAGUUUCAGUAUUUUCUGUUUGGAGUAUAGUUGAUAAGUUGACUCUGUUUAAGAAGCCCGAUUAUAGUAGCUGACUGUAUUAACCUUUUUUUUUUUGGUCUGCUGUUGUUUUUGGUUUCGAUUAUUUUUUCAACAUUGGGUUGAUCUGUUGAAGAACAAGCUUGGGUUUGAUUAUGUUUUAACUAUAAGGAAGAGCCAGACUUGGUUGCAGGCGUUAAGCUUUUAAUGGGUAAGAACAAAUGAAUGCUUUAACCAUGUUUCUCACUUAUUAAAAUGCAUGGAUUGAAGGCAUCUGGGUUGAUCCUGACAAUGUGAUGGAAAUACUUCUCUGUUUUCAUGUAACAGGACAAAUAGAGAUCUCUGAUCAUGCCUGAAUUUUUGUUGCAUUGAAAUUUCUACCAUUACCAAACAUAGAAUGAACUGGGGAUACAUUAGCUUAAGACUCAAUUUUGAGAAGGAAGUUUGUACUUGCAGCCUAUAAAAUCAUGUCCGUGUCGUACGUUUCUUUGGGAAAUGAAAGAUUCUGUGUGUUCUUUUAUUUCAAGUUCACUGAAAUCACAUUUGUUUUCUCCGAUGCUUUCCAGAAGGUAACAACAUCAAUUUCAAAAAUGCUGGGGCAAGAUGCAUCAUGCAGUGCGACUCAACUUGAGAAUUCCUGGCCACAUUACCCGUAUGUCGAAUGAUCGCACAGUUCAACCUUGAGAAGCUUGUAAUGAGUACACAACUGGGUGCAAGUAGUUUUGAAAUGAAUUUGCCUCAAAUGAUUUCUUGCUCGCAUCCCUUGGGUUAUGAUAGAUGGAAAAUUCAUAUACGAUCCAGAGUCAGAGGUGUUGAUUCUCUUAUUAAGGUCAGCUGAUUUCUAUUAUCCACUCUGACAAACUCCAAGACCGGGUUUUUUUUUUUUUUAAUUUUGCCGUUCUGUAUAAUUGAAAUGCCACUCACUUGUUUCCUUCUUCACAGGUCCGAUAGUAUGUUGAGGCUAUUUGCUUUUUAUCGGUGUUUGUCAAGGUAAUUAGUGCUGCCUCAUAGGUUGAUUACUCACAGAUGAAAUCAUAACUUUUAUCUUAAAAUUUAAUAGCAUACACAGAUAGAUGAUUUUUAGUCCAAAGUUUUUUUAUUCACUUCAAUCAAAAUUUUAGAUUGCAGAUUUUUGUCAAGUAUUUCAUUACAAUUUUUUCAUUUUUUAUUUUAAACCAGAAUAUGAGUAUAACAUUUUGGAGCGUGCAUACUCUGAUGCAUGCAAUUAACUGUUUUUAAUCAUUGGAUUUUGAAAUUAAUAAUGGUAAGAUGUGUACUUAUUCUGUCUUCCAACAACCUUGGCCUCUUUCUUCGGUCGCAUAUCUAAUGAAUAUUUCUCUGUUUAGUUAAGGAUGAAUGCUUGGAGUGGGGUACUUGGUAACAUUUCUGCCUCAGAUGAAUCCUUGAAGAAAUGCCCGCAGUUCCUGAGACCAAAUACAGGUCUGAUUCAAAACAGCACCUUUCUCAGAAAAUAUGAUCCAAGGCAAAGUCAUGUUCUGAUAAUGUUUCCUUAAGUACAAAGUUGCAAGGAAACUUGAUUCAUUAACUACAGUUUUUUAUUUUUAGGACCUUGUAUCUGAAAGGUUCAGUGUUUUUUUUUUUUCAAAUUUAUUGUUCAGAUCUCAGAGGAGUAUAUGGUUUAGAUUACAAAACACCCAUGAUUAAUUUCAUUUUUUUUUUUUUAUUUCAGGGAGAAGAAGUGGUCAGUUUCAAUCCGGAAUUGGAAUAUGGCAAUUUGGUUCAAGCACACACACCUGGUCACUUGGUCAGUGAACCUGAACUUUACGCAGUUUUUUCAACUCAGUGAUUUUUGGAACGCAUAGUGGUGUAAGGAAAUCAAAAGAAAUUUAUGCAUAGUCAAAUUCUGAUAUUUGCUAUAUAUUAUACAUUCUAAAGUUUCUCCAGUUUGUUCUCAGAUUACCAUCAUUUUUUGCCUUCACCAAAAAAAAAAAAUUGAGUGGCUUUCCAGUGGAUAUUUAAUCGGAGGUAUGACUGGAUUUUUUUCACUUCUGUAAAUCUUGCAUUUUAAACUGGCAAAUUUAACUUUAAUUUUAAUACGACUUUGUUGGUGCCUUGUGCUCCAGAAACUAGAAAGAUGUGUAGUUUUCAGAUAAAGGGGCUUGUAAAUUCUCUAGUAAGAAUCCAAUAAUUUGCUUUUGCACGUUCAUUUUAUUUGUGGAUCCUUGCAUCUGAAUUUAAUCAAUCCAAAAGGAAUUGCUUUUAGACAGAAGAAGAAUAGCAGUACCUAGCCUAUGACAUAGUAUAUGGACCUGCAAACCUGAAACUAUUAGUUUGAGGUAAAAAAUUCAUGACCCUCACAUGUUAACUUUCAUGAAAAACACAUUUAAGAAAUUUGCAAUUUUUUGUUAGUUUCGUAUCCGAUGUUGUUGCAUCACAGUAACUUUAAACCACUGCGACAUUUUUAUAAUAACAGUCUGAGAUCUCCCUGAAGGAUUCAAAGCAUUUUAUUUUAUAUUAAACUCCUUUAUGUGGGUUUCGACACUACCACAAGUUCUUUAAAUACUAAAACGAUUUUAAGUCUUUUGUAUCAUCUUAUUGAAAUAUAUGAAAGCACUCGUGGUUGCAAAAAUACAGUUGGGGCUAUUUCUAAAGUCUUCAACAGCAUUUUCUUUUUAACCUUUAUCCUCAUGGUUGUUUUUGCAGUUGUUCUUUAAGAAAACAUUUAAAAGGUUCUCUUUAUGGAUUUUUGAAAAUAAUUUUAACAUUAGCAAUUUUCAGAAGCACUUUAGAUGUCUGGCAUUUAGAAAAUUUUAUUCCGGUGUCACAUAAAAUACUUAGGAAGUUAAAUUUAUUUAUUUAUGAGCAUGUGCCAGUGCCCUGUGGCAUCCUCUUCACUUGUGAUAGUCAAAUAUAUUAUACGAUACAAUAUUAGCUUGACUGUAGCACAGAGGAGAAUAGGGUUGGUGUUGGUCUGAACCAGCUUAUGUAACAGCUGCCAAAAGGAUAAUUUAAUUGUACUUUGAGUAAAGCUUUUGCGAAUUAAACAAGUGAUAAUUUGUUUCUAUUAAGAAAAACUUAAAGGAUAGGGCUAUUUUAACUCACCAAACUACACAUUAAAAAUCCACUUACAAAAAUAGUUUUUAAUUAUUAAAAUAUUCCUAAAUUAAAUUAUAAUUAUGGACACUAAAAUAUAAUUUUUUUUAUAUUUUACUUUUUGAAACUGUCUUUAUAUUCGAUAUUAUAUUUUUUUUCUUAAACUCUAAAUUGAUAUUUUUUUAUUAAUUUUAAAACACAUAUAAAGUGAUUUAUAUUGAUUUUAUACUAACAAACUAUUAUAGCACAUUCGAAAAAUAAUUAAAUCGUUCUUAUUUACAUAGUGAAAAUGCAAAUAGCUCAUUCAAAUGUUAAGGAAUUGGAGAGCUGCUGCUGGAGAUGAAAGAUGUGAAUUAAACAUCAGAGAAAAAAUUAUGUUCACUAUCUUGCCAGACCAAGCACCGAAGAGCGUCGUAAAGAAAAAUUAGAUAAUUUAGAAGAUAAAGCACGUGGAAUGGAGGCAGAAAGCAAGUAAUGAUAACUCUUUCGACAAACUAAUAUAUACCAAAAUGCAAUAUCGGCCCUAAUAAAAAAUGAAAAUAAAAAUUCAUUACGAAUACUUGUUAAAGAUAUCCCAAGUAUAGAUGUGACUGAAAUAUUUGAGAUUGAAGAAGAAUUAAGACUCAAAAUCAAUUGGGAGGAAUAAAUGAGAAACCCCAAUACCAAAAAAUACACGCACAAAUCCUAAUACUAAUUGUAAUCACGGAUAAAAAGCAUAAUACGAAUAAAUUACAUGGGCAACUAUUCCAUUGAGAAAUUAAUUAAAUCGUGUAUUAAUAUUUUGUAUACAUAUAUUUUUCUAUACAUAACUUUCGGUAAUUUAGUUUUCCACUUAUCAUUUUUACUCCAAAAAAGUAAUUGAGAAUAUUAUUUAUGUUUUGGUACAAAAUAUUUGAACAAUAUACAAAUUUUCAGUUUAAUAAAUCUAAACAUCUAUUAAGUUAUAAAUGAAUUUAAUGGGUUUAAUUAAUAAAAUUACUAUUAUUAUAUAAAUUGGGUUUAGUAAUGGUAUAUUGGGUGGGUUUGUUGAGUAAAUUUUAAAAUUUUGAAAUUUAAGGAUGAAUUUAUUUAGUAAAUGAAUUCAGGGAGUAAUUUGUUGGGAUUCACAUAGCCCCACCAAAUUCAAAUGUAAAAUUUUUGGAAAAAGAAGCUAUUGAGUUAUUCUAAAAAAUAAUUAAAAUGUCAAGAAUACCUUUAUUUAAUUUUAUAAUCUUAUUUUAUAGUCAUAUUUUAUUUCCACCUUAACAUAAUUUUAAAAACCUUAACUAAUAAAUUCUAUAUUUUUUUUUAUAAAAGUUAUCAUUAAUAUCCAAACGGCUACAGAUUUUUUUUUUUUAAAAAAAGGAACUAUGCUUACAAAAGUUGUAUACAUUAACAAUAAAUUUAGUCCAAAGAAUAAAGUUAUUCCAAACAAGCACUCUAAUUCAUCUUGCUAAUGAAUCAAGAUGACUGAAUCCUUCUCUGAGCCAAAUCUAUUUUCACUUUUAGGUCAGAAAUUGUCAUUAAAAAAGUGUUUGAUAAAAUAUGCUCUGGGAACACUAAUUCGUCAGAUGGUUACUCCAAGUUUAUGAAAUCAAUGGGAUUUCAUCAUAUUCAUAACAUUCUUCUUGAAUGUCUAUUCUAACAAAGAAAUCAUAUACAGAGAAUAGGUUUCGUUAAAACUUUUUCUAGAAAAACUAACCACAAUUCAUCAUUCAUUUAUCUCUUAAGUAAGCGUAAGAUUUUAUCAUUAAAAUCCCAUCAUGAAAAAACUCAUGGGAGAAAAACUAUAAAAAUUGAAGAAAAAAGAGUAUGGCGUGCAUGUAAAUUAUAUCGAUUUUAUCUACAUGACAAAUAAGACUCUCUUUUACAAUGGCACGGAUGCUUCAUUGAGUAAUCAUGAUUCUUGCUGGUAGUGCUUUGUUGUAUCAAUCUGCUAGCUAUUCAGCGUUCUUUCUUUCUUUCUUCUUAUUUUUUUGUUUUCAAAUAGCUUGUGGUUGUAGAAAUAUUUCAAUUAAACUAUACUUAAGUACUUAUUUGGUAUAACUUCUUUACUAACCAAAAGAAUUUUUUUUUUUGGUUUUUUAUAAUUUAAUUAUACUUUAACUAGAGUUUUUGGGAUAAAACAAGUGAUAAUUUCUCUCUAUUAAGAAAAACUCAAAGGGUAGGGCUAUCUCAAUCCACCAAACUAUUUAUUAAAAAUCCACUUAUGAAAAUAAUUUUUAAUUAUUAGAAUGCGUUUACAUUAAAUUAUAAUUAUGGACACUAAAAUAUAAUAAAUUUUUUUUUUACUCUUUAAAAUUGUCUUUACAUUUGAUAUCAUAUCUUUUUCUUAAAAUCUAAAUUGAUAUUUUUAUUUUAUUUUUGAUUAAUCUUAGAACACAUAUAAAGUGAUUCAUAUUGAUUUUAUACUAACAAACUAUCACAGCACAUUCGAAAAUAAUUAACUCGUUCUUAUUUGCAUAGUGAAAAAGGCAAAUAGCUCACCCAAAUGUUAAGGAUAUGAAAAGCAUGGUCAAGAAAAAUUGCAUAAUUCUCACUUAGAAGAGAGGUAGCCGCCACCACCACCAGUGAAACUAUUUCACAUAAUAGAAGAUAAAGCACGCGUAAUGGAGGCAAAAAGCAAGUAAUGAUAACUCUUUUCGACGCACUAAUACAUAUCAAAAUGCAAUAUCGGUCCUAACAAAAUGAAAAUAAAAAUUCAUUACGAAUAUGUGUUAAAGAUAUCUCAAGUAUUGAUGUGAUUGAAAUAUUUGAGAUUGAAGUAGAAAUAAGACUCAAAAUUAAUUGAGAGGAAUAAAUGAGAAACUCUAAUACUAAUAAAAUAUAUUCACAAAUCCUAAUGCUAAUUAAAAUCACGGAUUAAAAAAAAUAAUAUGAAUGAAUUACAGGCGCAACUGUUUCAUUAAGAAAUUAAUUAAAUCGUGUAUUAAUAUUUUGUACACAUACAUUUUUCCAUAUAUAACUUUUGGUAAUUUAGUUUUCCACUUAACUUUUGGUGAAAAAAAUAAUUGAGAAUAUUAUUUAUGUUUUGAUGCAAAAUAUUUAAACAACAUAAAAAUUUUCAGUUUAAUAAAUCUAAACAAUUCUCAAGUUAUAAAUGAAUUUAAUGGGUUUAAUUAGAAAAAAUACUAUUAUUUUAUAAAUUGGGUUUAGUAAUGGUAUAUUGGGUAUUUAAAUGGGUUUGUUGAGUAAAUUUUAAAAUUUUAAAGUUCAAGGGUGGGUUUAUUUAGUAAAUGGGUUAAGGCAGCAAUUUUCCAAACUAAAUUUUUGGAAAAAGAGGUUAUUGAGUUUUUUUUUUUAAGAAAAAGAAUUAAAAUGUUGAGAAUACCUUUAUUUAAUUUUAUAAUCUUAUUUUAAAAAAUUUACCCAAUAAAUUUGAUAAUUUUUUAUAAAAAUUAUCAUUAACAUCCAAACAGCUGAAGAUUAAAAAAAAAAAAAAAGAAGGGAACUGUACUAGCAAAAGUUACAUUAACAAUAAAUUUAGUCCAAAGAAUAAAGUUAUAGCUAAAAAGUGCUCCUAUCCUAUUUUUCUCUAUUUUAACAAUAAUCUUCCAAUCCGUUUUACAAUGGACUUUAACAAAUGGGCUCAAUUAACAAGAUUGAUCAAGAAUUAACAAGACAAGAUGAAGAGAUGAUCUUGUAACUAAGAAUGAAGAAAUUACGCACAAAGCAGUAAAUUUGUAAAACCAGAAUUGGAGCUUCACUUCUCAAGAGAGACGAAACAGGAUACAAUCUAGCUUUGGUCAACUUCGUUUGGCCACGUCAUAAAGUCUCCCCACAGUCUUUCCCGCCAAAACAGAAAAGCUUUAAAAGCCAUUUACCUUCCUGAGUUACUUGCUCCUAUUACAUCAAGGCCCUGGAAGUCUAUAUUUAUUAUUACAAAAGCACUCUUAGGGUGCGUUUGGAAUUGAGGUGUUGUAGUUUUUAAGCUACAGCUGUUGUGAAAAAAAACUGUAAUUAUGAAAUAAAAGUUAAUAAUAUAUAGUAAAUAUAAAUUUUAAAUAAUAAUUUUAUCAAAAUUAUUAAAGAUAUAAUAAAUUUUAUAUUAUACAAGUGAAAAAUUAUAUCAACAUAGCUUAAAAGCUACAGCAGUUAAUGUUUACCAAACACUUUAGUGCUGUAGCUUUUAAGCUUCAGCUGCCCAAUCUCAAUCGCAAACGCACCCUUAAACCGAGAUCGAAGCGCAUGAUUUCAUUACAAAGCAUUCGCAAAGAAAUUGUUUUUAAAUGAAACUCCUCGUCUUGACCAGAUUAUUUAUUAUUAUUCAAAAACAAAUGCUCAAAGCUUAGCCAAAGUGAUAAACUCGUAAUUAUUCUACAAAGGGAACAAUUUUGAACGGUGGGAAAUUCCAUAAUUAUGCUUUUCUGUGAAUUAUUUUAAAUAAAAUUAUAAAAACCAAUAUAAAAUUAUUACCCAGUAAAGACUUUAGAGAGACAAAUGUCCCCAACAGGAUCAAGUGAAUAUGCCCCACAAAGAUCACAUGAUCAUUUCUUGUUCUUUUUCUUUUGGACAAUUUUAGACAAUAUAAAAGAAAAAAUAUUAAAUUUUUUUAACCGAAUUAUUUUGACUCAAUUUGGUUCAUAAUUUUUUAAACCAAAUGGAACCCUCAUAACAAAAAACUAACGGAAACAAUAAGAACACGAUGUUAAAAUCUUAAAUCAAUCGCAAAAAAGCACCCAAAACAGAUCGAUUAGGAACAGUUAACAACAAAAGAUUUGAUGGUUCAAAAUCAUAAUGUGACCUACUUCCAUCCAAGAAUUAUACUAAUUUCUUUACUAGUUGUCAAAUACAAGAUCACAAGAUUAUUUAUCACUCUAUAGAGAAAAACUUUUUAGAAGAAAUACUCCCCAAUUUUUCUCUUGAUAGUUAUGAAUCAACACCCCUAGAAAGGCUAUUGAUUUAUUUUUCCUUAUUUCAUAUGAUCGGUUGCUGCAACUUAAUCCUUGCCAAGUUCCAACAUAGUCCAAACAUUUUUCAUGGUACAUGCAUAGUGCACCUUCAGAAACUUUACAGCUCUUCUUAAAACCUCAGUUCUCGUGAUGUUUCUGAUUUAUUUUUGGGACGAGUAACACUUUUGUUGAACCUAGACCAGAUUUAGUAUCCAAUCAAGAAUUUCCAGGAUCUAGCUGAACUCUCUAAUCAAGACCUAAAGAAUAGUUAAUCAAAUCCACACAAAAGAAUCACCCAAAAACAGUAUACAAAGAACAACAAAUAUAAGUGGUUUUGAGAUAAAUGUAAUUGACUUCUGAGCAUGACUUAAUUUUGAGAUCAUUACUUUUAGUUAAAUGAUCUCCUCCAGAGCUUCUACCUAUGUAGUGUUUUUAGACCUCUAUAGUUGAUAAAGCACGUUCAAGGUGAAGGCUUGUUUUCCAAUCUAUAGUCCAAUUAUAGACUGGAAAUGGUCAGGCUUAAUGCACCUUCAAAAGCUUCACAAUUUGUAUUGAAACCUUAAGCCUCAGAAUGCUACAAAUUUUAAAUCCAUAUACUUAGUGCUCUUAUGAUUUGUUUGAUUUUUACUUAGAUGAAGAGCAUUUUAGCUAUAGAAUACAUUGUAACUAAUUCAAAGCAUGCCUUAGCUACGAGAUCAUUCAUUCUAGCCAAAUGCCCCCUUUAGAGAUUCUGCUAUUGUUGUGUAUUCAGCCUCUAUAUUUGGCAAAGCAAUUACAUGUCGAAGGCUUGCUUUCCAGUUAACAGCGCAAUUACAUAGAUUAAAGGUGUAACCAGGCAAAGAACUUAGUUAUUCUGCCAAGGUCUCCAACAUACUCCAAAUCCAUAUAACCACCAGACUUCAAUCUUUAGACUCCAUAGAUCAAACCAUAACUUAGUGUGCCUUUCAAUCUCAGGUAACAUUUUACUGUUUUCCACGUCUUGCCAUGUACUUGCUGCUAACACUAACAAUUUGAGAAAUGUUAGGCAUCGUAAGCAGCCGACAACACUCUUCUUCAUUUCUUCAUUGUCAAUUUCUUUCUUGGAACAUUGCUCCAUUGAGAGUCUGCUAUCAUUGCUCCAAUUAUUAUUAUUUUUGUUUUUUUUUAAAAAAAAAAUAACCGUGCAAUAAGAGUAUAAGACUAAGCAACGGUCCUUUUUUUUUUACCCAUUCUUGAACAUGAAGUAUUUGAGUAUGUAAUAAAAAUUGUUUAUUGAUAAUUAAAAGUUAAUAGUGGGUGGCUUUAGGUUUUGUUUACAAAAUUGACAACAAAUUAAGAUUUUUCAAAUUCAUAGGUAAGAAACUUUUCAUUUAUUCAUAGAUUUUCCGGUUUAAACUUUAAAGGAAACUUAAAAGAAAAAGAUGUAUCAUUAGAUUUGUAAUUAAAAAAAUUUAAUAUUGUAUGAUCUGUUCGAUAUGCAUAAUUUAAAUAAACAUUAAUAUAGAUGUUAUAUAUCCUAAAACUUAAUUGACUUAAUUCUUACGGUGCAAGGAAGACGUUUCCAAGUUUAAAUCUAAUUUGGGGUCGGGAAAGCACUGGGAAAUAAAUGUAACAAAGGAAAAAAGAAAAGAAUGACAGUCUGAGUGGAGCCAACACGGUUUUGAAAAAAGUGCAAAAAAGGGUUUUAGGAUAUACUCUAUUAUCGUUUGUUUGCUUGCUUGUGGAAAUAAAAGUCUCAUGUUUCUUUGAAAGGUAAGCAAGUGUGAAUGUUUCUAUCUAGAGCUGGAAAAUGCAUUUCCGUGCAACUUACUUGAUGAAUGAAGUUUUCACCUCUGACCUUGAUGUUUCCCUGAGCUGCAUUCAUUGCAGCUGAUGUAUUUCAUUUUGUUUUCGAAGGAGUGACACAAAAUCUCCUUUGUUAAGGUGAGAAUUUAGAGUGGCUUUAACUGUUAACAAAUAGCCUAAUGUAAGACUUAAUCAACUUCCUGCCCUGUUGUAUGCUUAUGAAUUUUGAUAGAGUUAUGAGUUUGCAGAAGCUACUGUAUUAUAUGUUGCUAGAGGCUGUAAAAAUGAGGCAGAUCAAACACACAUUUAAAUUUCAGUGACAAUUUACUGGAAGUAAAUUCCUAUGACCCUACAUGUGACUGUGUGGCACCAUCCGCCAUUUGGAAGUGAAUAUCAUUAUUCUUUAAUCAACAUGGUGGAGUCCACGGGGACCACACCACAUGGUCAGUCUUAUCUCUAUUCCUCAAUUUUCAGUAUUCCAUACAUCAAAACAAUUUCAGUUUUGUUAUCAAUUAUAAUUUCAUUGUUGGUGACGAUUCUGAUUCCUUUCUUUCUGACAAAACGGAACCAUGGUUGCUGUGGGAGAGAUCUUACUCAACGCCUUCUUUCAGGUGUUGUUUGACAGGUUGGCUUCCCGUGAUUUGUUCAGCUUUGUCCGUCAACUUGGAGUGGGGGUCGAUUCCGAGCUCAAGAAGUGGGAUAGAAAGCUGAAGAUGAUUCAGGCGGUGCUCAACGAUGCAGAGGAGAAGCAACUGACUGACGAGACUGUGAAGAUGUGGCUGGACGAUCUCCAAGACUUGGCUUAUGACGCUGAGGACAUUCUUGAUGAGUUUGCUACUCAAGCUUUGGAAAGCAAGUUGAUGGCGCAAAAUCAGGAUAGCUCUGGCCAGCUUCUCAGUUUCAUCCCGGCUAGUUUGAAUCCGAAUGCUGCUAGGUUCAAUUAUGGCAUGAGGUCCAAGAUUAACGAUAUUACUAGCCGGUUGGAGCAACUCUGCAAAGAUAGAAUUGAACUUGGGCUGCAACGGAUUCCUGAAGGGGCAUCAUCAACUGCUGCUGCUGCACACCAGAGGCCACCCAGUUCAAGCGUCCCACCAGAACGUGAAGUUUUUGGUAGAGAAGAAGAUAAGGCCAAAAUUCUUGAUAUGGUAUUGGCCGAUAGCCCAAGUGAUCAUGCCAACUUUGUUGUAAUACCCAUUGUUGGCAUGGGCGGGAUAGGAAAAACAACUCUCGCUCGGGAGGUUUACAAUGACAAGGCCGUUGGAGAUUCCAAGUUUGAUGUAAAAGCAUGGGUUUGUGUAUCUGAUGUCUUUGACGUUUUGGGCAUCUCAAAGGCGCUUCUCGAGUCAAUCACCCGCAGGCCAUGUCUUCUAAACAGUUUAAACGAAGUGCAGGUUGAAUUGAAAGUAGCUGUGGAUAAAAAAAGAUUCUUGCUGGUCUUAGAUGAUGUUUGGAACGAGGACUACAGCUUGUGGGUAGACUUAAAAGCUCCGUUCCUGGGUGCUGCACCAAACAGCAAGAUGAUCGUCACCACACGCAAUUCAAGUGUUGCAUCAACAAUGAGACCCAUUGAUCGUCACCACACGCAAUUCAAGUAUUACGAUCUCAAGAGUCUGUUAGAUGAUGAUUGCUGGUCCAUUUUCAUAAACCAUGCAUUUGAAUCUACAGACCUUAGCGCACAUCGAAUUUCAGAAUCAUUCCGCGAGAAAGUUGUUGGCAAGUGUGGGGGCUUGCCUCUGGCAGCAAAAACACUCGGGGGCCUUCUUCGUACUAAAACGCAUGCUGAGUGGGACGGUAUAUUGGAUAGCAAAAUAUGGGAUUUACCUCGGCAAAGCAGCAUUCUCCCCGUGUUAAGAUUGAGUUACCAUCAUCUUCCUUCUCAUUUGAAAAGAUGUUUUGCUUUUUGUGCCAUCUUUCCAAAAGAUUAUGCAUUCACUGAGAGGGAGCUGACUUUCUUAUGGAUGGCUGGAGGUAUUAUUCGACAGUCAAGAAACAAUGAGCAGCUGGAAGAUUUGGGCAGCAAGUGCUUUGGUGAUCUAGUGUCGAGGUCAAUUUUUCAACAAACAGCAAUCUCUGAUAGUUCUAAAUUUGUAAUGCAUACUUGAAAUUUCUGUCUUCAAUAUUUUGAUGCUUUCUUAUCCCAUGCACAAAAGUACUAGAAAAAACUAAUAACAGCUAACCGAAAAUCCCAGGCGUCAUAUUCCUUUUUACCGCGUUUUAAAAUGCACAACAAUGAUAUUCUUACAAAUUUGCAAAAUUUGUCAAUUUCUUAGAUUUCAGAUAUUUUAAUGCUUUUUUUAAUUUUUGAUCUAGUAAAAAUACACAGCCUUCACCGGCAGGAUUCUAGUCUUGGCUUUCACCUCUCUAACUCAUCUGUUCCCAUUGGGAUUCCAGAAAUUGAAAUUUCUGUCUUCAAUGGGUUUUCAAAGCCUCGCCUCUCUUCGAUUUUUGUGGAUCGGGAAUUGCACAAAUCUCACAUCAUUUCCCGAGGUCGAGGAAAAGAGCGGCCCAAACUUGCUCGCAUCCCUUAUUAGGUUAUGAUAGAUGGAAAAUUCAUAUACGAUCCAGAGUCAGAGGUGUUGAUUCUCUUAUUAAGGUCAGCUGAUUUCUAUUAUCCACUCUGACAAUCUCCUAUUCGUGUUUUUCCUUUUUAAAUUUUUUUUCCAAAAUUUUGCAGUUCCGUAUAUUGGUGUUUGUUAAGGUAAUUAGUGCUCCCUCAAUAUUGCAUUUUAGACUGCCAAAUGUAGCAGUAAUUUUAAUACAAUUUUGUUGGUGCCUUGUGUUCCAGAAGCUAGAAAAAUGUGUAGUUUUCAGAUAAGGAGGCUUGUCAGUUCUCUAGUAAGAAUCCAAUGAUUUGCUUUUGCACGUCCAUCUAAUUUGUGGAUCCUUGCAUCAGAAUUUGAUCAAUCCAAAAGGAAUUGCUUUUAGACAGAAGAAGAAUAGCAGCACCUAGCCUACCCGCAAACCUGAAACUAUUAGAUUGAGGUAAAAAAAUCAUUGACCCUCACAUGUUAACUUCUUCUAGUUACUUUCAUUGGGGAAAAAAAAACAUUUAAGGAAUUUGCAAUUUGUUGUUAGUUAUGGUAUCUGAUGUUCUUUUCUGCUUUAGCGUUUGUAGAACCUACUGUAUUAUGUGUUGGCAGUUGCCGUAUCUGAGGUAACUUGCCUUUAUUUGUUUGCUUCUGAGUUAAGGACACCAACAUUUGCCAGAGAUUUAGAGAAUCAUCUCAAAACACUUAGCAAACUUGACAAACUUCAAGAUGCACUUGCCCCCACGCCUUAUUCUCAACAACGCAAAACUUGUGAGUACACCUAUGCCUGCAAUUAUUGUGAAGUGUUCGCAAUUCUGAUGCAGAGAAAUGGUUUCUUGAUGCAAAGUAUUAAACUGUUAAGAUUUAUCCUGCAGGCUUGUUAGAUGUUGUAUACUCGAAAAGCCAACAACAUCAAGAACUACAACUCCAAGACCAACUUUGCGUUAAUUCAGUCAGCUGUAAAAAUGAUGCAAAUGACACUAUAUCAAGCUGGACUUAGAGACUAGUCAGAUCAAUCAUCCAUUUCAUCAACGGUUAAUGUCAUGAUGGUGGCUAUCAGAGGAAACAAAAGAUGUGUCAGAAUCUAUACGAACAUUGAGAAGCAUGAGAGGAGCUUUGAUUUUGAGUAGGGUCAAUGAACUCAUGUUGGUAAGUGGUGAUUAAAGAAAUUUGUAAGCUUAGUAGAGUUUCAGUAUUUUCUGUUUGGAGUAUAGUUGAUAAGUUGACUCUGUUUAAGAAGCCCGAUUAUAGUAGCUGACUGUAUUAACCUUUUUUUUUUUGGUCUGCUGUUGUUUUUGGUUUCGAUUAUUUUUUCAACAUUGGGUUGAUCUGUUGAAGAACAAGCUUGGGUUUGAUUAUGUUUUAACUAUAAGGAAGAGCCAGACUUGGUUGCAGGCGUUAAGCUUUUAAUGGGUAAGAACAAAUGAAUGCUUUAACCAUGUUUCUCACUUAUUAAAAUGCAUGGAUUGAAGGCAUCUGGGUUGAUCCUGACAAUGUGAUGGAAAUACUUCUCUGUUUUCAUGUAACAGGACAAAUAGAGAUCUCUGAUCAUGCCUGAAUUUUUGUUGCAUUGAAAUUUCUACCAUUACCAAACAUAGAAUGAACUGGGGAUACAUUAGCUUAAGACUCAAUUUUGAGAAGGAAGUUUGUACUUGCAGCCUAUAAAAUCAUGUCCGUGUCGUACGUUUCUUUGGGAAAUGAAAGAUUCUGUGUGUUCUUUUAUUUCAAGUUCACUGAAAUCACAUUUGUUUUCUCAGCUGCUUUCCAGAAGGUAACAACAUCAAUUUCAAAAAUGCUGGGGCAAGAUGUAUCAUGCAGUGCGACUCAACUUGAGAAUUCCUGGCCACAUUACCCGUAUGUCUAAUGAUCGCACAGUACAACCUUGAGAAGCUUGUAAUGAGUACACAACUGGGUGCAAGUAGUUUUGAAAUGAAUUUGCCUCAAAUGAUUUCUUGCCGGUGAUUAAUAUAACCUCUAUUCCAAAAUUCUUAGAACUGGUCAUACUAGCAAUGAAGGAUUGCAUACAUUGAAGACAUAGCUGAAGGCCUUGCGAGAGCUCUGUCAGCCCUUGUACCGGAAAACAGCUGGUCGUAGUCGCUUGUGAAUGAUAUGAUUAAUAGAUACUGCAAAAAUGAAUUGUGCCAUACGUUUUCAGCGCUCUGUGAAGAUGUCUUGGUCAUUUGUUUGAUGCUUGUUUGAUUUAUGUUGUAUUCAGCCAUAAAUCAGAGAUUCAGAACUUGGGUAUGUUUCUGGUUUCCAAAUCAAAAAAUUGCCUUGUGAUGUUAGUGUUCACUGUUUUCACAGGAGAUCAGGUUCCUUGUUAAUGAAUCAAGAAGAAGGCAAGCGCAUCCAUGUCCAAGUUCAAAUGUGUCUCCUCUAUUUUCUAUUACCCACUCAUUUAUUUUGAUUUCUUCAUUGUAAUUGAAUUAGUUUUUUAUUCCAAAUUAGUCAAAACCUCGUAGAGUCAUUAAGUUCUUUUAGCAUUUAAAGACAGAACUACGAACCAAAUGAUUUAAGUUCUUCGUUGUAAUUGAAUUUGCUUUCCCAUCUUUAGAGAUAUUAUGUUCUUUUUCACUUUUUCGAUUUGGUUAGUGGUGAUUUCUUAAAGACUCAAUCCAUUUGCGUUAAUACAUUUUUCUUUUGCCUUGAUUUCUGUUUCUUGGGGAGUUUAUACAUAUUAUUAUUUUAUGCUACACAUGCCAUAUACAGAUUCUUAUUUUAUGCUUCACAUGCCACAUAAAAGGUCAAAGCCUUGUGUGUGAUUAGAAUUUACUGGCAUCAUAGUAACUUUAAACCAUUGUGACGUUUUAGUAAUAACAGUUUGAGCUCUCCCUGAAGGAUUCAAAGCAUUUUAUUUUAUAUUAUACUCCUUUAUAUGGUUUGGCUGGUCUCUUUUAAGGCAAUUCCUGUUUAAAGUAAUCAAAAUUUUGAUUUCGAAGUGUCUUUCAACACUACCGCUAGUUCUUUAAGAAAAGUAAAUCGAUUUUGAGUCUUCUGUAUCAUCUGAUUGAAAUACAUGAAAGCACUCUUAGCUGCAAAAGUACACUUGGAGUUAUAAUAGCAUUCUGAAAUCUCCUUGAAGGAUUCAAAAGCUCUUUAUUUGCUAGUCUUUGCUUGCAAUAAACUCCUUUAAUAUAGAUUGGUUGAUCUUCUUUAAAGCAAUUACCAUAAGUUCUUUAAAUAAUAAAACGACUUUGAGUCUUAUGUAUCAUCUUGUUGAAAUACAUGAAAGCACUCUUGGCUGUAAAAAUGCACUUGGGGUUAUAUAUAAAGUCUUCAACAGAAUUUUAUUUCCCCCUUUAUCCUCAUGGUGGUCUUUUUAGUUGUUUUUUAAGAAAUCGCUUGAAGGUUCUCUUUAAAAAUAAUUUUAACAUAAGCAUUCUUUAGAAGCACUUUAGAUGUCUGGCAUUUAGAAAAUUUUGUUCCUGUGUUCACAUAAUAUAAUAUAUAUAUAGAAAGCUGACUGUAGAAUAGAGGAGAACGAGUUGGUGUUGGUCUGAACUCUGAUCUUUGAAUCUCAUGUGACUCCACUACUUUUUACUUGUUCUGUACAAGGUCUUUUAGCUUUUCAAAAAGUUUUAGCUUUAUGGAUAAAAUACUGUUAAUUGUAAUCUAUAAAUAAUGAAAGGAAUUAAUAAAAUAUUUGGUAAAUUUUAUUUUCUAAAGUGUUAUGAGUUCUAAAACGGCUGUAUGUAUAUAAAUUUAUUUACACAUAUAUUUAUAAAUAUGAUUAUAUAAUAAUAUUUUAUGUGUACAUAUCAUAAUUGAUAACUAAAAUAAAUAUUUUUAUUUUAUUAAUGGUUUUUCCGUCUCAAUGUAGUUGGUAAUAAUAAUCUCUUUAGAUGUAAUGAUUUUAUUUCCUAACUGAAUAAGGAAAAUUUUAGAUUUUUAUAAUAAAUGUUAAAUAUAUCUAGAAUUACAUUAAGUAUGAAAUAAUCCUCAAAAUUAGAUUUUGAAAAGUUAUUCUUUUAUUACUUUUAAAAAUAUGUCAUAUGAUGAGAUGAUUUUAUUAAAAGUGAUUUUUUUUUAAAAAAAUUACUAAACAUCAAAAUUAACUCUUAACUUUUUAAAAUCAUUUCUAAUCUUCUCAUCCUAAGUUCUUUAUUGUUUUGUACAAAAUCCAAGGUUUUUACUUUUAUAAAAUGCCCACUCAAAAAUAAAUUAUUUUCUAAUUAAGAUUUGUUGUUAAUGUAUACCUCGAAGUAAUAUUAGAUAUUUGUAAUUUUAUUUCAAAAAUUUUAUUCAAAUGAUAUGGCAAGCAAUGAACAAUAGUUGAUAGCAAUUUUUUUUUUUUAAACAAUGUUCAAAUCAAUCAGUUGCAUUAUCUCACCAUUUUUAUGAUGUCAUGUUAUUUUAAAUGAUUUUUUUAAUUUUUAUAUAAAACAUACGACGUGUUAACAUCAUUUGCAUAACUUGACCUUUUUUUUUUCCUACAAAUAGUAAGUCAAAUUUACUCACCCUAUUUCUACCUAAAACUCAUGCAUCACUGUAAAACAAAUCCAAAGAUUGCGAUACGUUUUUCUUGGCAAGAAAUCAAUAAUUAGGUCAAGUACUACUACUAAGCGUGCACAAUUAAUUCUAAAAUACGGUGAUCAAAAUCAUACUUGACGCAAGAGGAUAAGGGCUGAACUUCAAUUAGGCAUUAUUCAUCCAAAAUUCAUUGACUCGGCAUUCUUUGCAAGUUGUAGCAUGGGACAGCUAAGAUAAUUAGCAAAUGAUAUGGACCAUAUGCACCCAUACAUUUCCUUUAAUGCCAACUCUUCAUUGAAUGAUUAUCAGAUCCAAUACGCAUCCUUUGAUUGGAUUAUUUUAAGUCAAUUAUUGGUGGAUUGGGGCCCACUUGACUCUACCAAAUCGGGCUCCACCAUAUCACCUAUUAACGACCACCUGUCCUUAUCAUAAAUAGCAAAUGUCACUUGUUUUAUUUUGUAUUUUACCAAAAGCAAAGUCACUAUGAACCCAAAUGAAAGUGACCUCAAUUUUGGGGGUCAUGAACUUUGGAUUAUUAUGGACACAAGAGACAAGCGCAAUGUUUCUCAUUUAUCACUGGAUAAGAUUUAAGUUAUCAACCCAAUAUUAAUAAAUUCUGCUUGAAAAGUAAAGUUUGAAGCUUCAUUUUGCGAAUAUUCAAUGGUUAACAUUUAAGUAAUUAACCUGAUAUUAAUCUAAUUAAACUUUUUAUGUUAUCCAAGUCAAACAUAUAUUGAUAAACCUAAAUUAAUCUAAUUGGACAUAUUAUUUCAACUUGAAAAGGUGAAUCUAUCAUUUUUCAAUUAAUUUUGAAUCAAGCUAUGUAAAAUAUAAGCUUAUUAAAGACAUAUUUGAAAAAUUCAAAUUGAAUUAUUUGACAAUUACAUUUCAACUAAGUUGUACUGCUAAUUAACUUCCUCAACUUAAAAUGUAUUGUUCUCAAUUAAUUCGUAACAAAGAAUGUUAGAUGUUUUGUUCGAAUAAUAACAUUCAACAUCCUUAUUCUUUAUGAUUAUUGCAUAAAAAACAUAUUUUAUCCAUUUACGUCACUAUCGAAAACUUUGAACAGUCAAUACAAAUGCUUCCGUUUCAUCCCAUAAACAAAUAAAAUUCACAUCUGUACACAUCUACUUUGCUUUGCUAGAUAGAGUUCCUCUGCAUUUCCCAAUUGCCUAAAGAGAAGGGGAAAAGAAAAAGAGGGCCAAAAAAUGCCUGAAAUGGUAAGGAACAAGCAAGUGAUAUUGAAGAACUAUGUGUCUGGUUUCCCAAAAGAAACAGACAUGCACAUGACCGAAAGUUCCAUAGAAUUGAAGGUGCCAAAAGGUUCAAAUGGGGUUCUUUUAAAGAACUUGUACUUGUCCUGUGAUCCGUACAUGCGACCAAGAAUGACCUACAUCGAAGGAUCUUACGUUGAAUCCUUUAAACCUGGCUUGGUUAGUGCACUCGCUCAUGGCCACGCUUUUCAUUUCCAUGGCUUCUUGCUCUUUUGUUAUAGAAAAUUUAUUUUUGGUUGCAGUUUGGUUCGACUGCUAAAAUCUCGUGCGAUAAUUGUAUAAGAUAUCUAGAGUUUGAACUUCUUUCACAUUAGGGUUCAAGGAAGUUAACUUAAAUGAUUUUCAAAAUUUUAAAUGUGUACCAAUGAAUUUAAUUUCAUAGCUUAAACUUAUAUUUUGAUCAUACUCUAACUUUGGACAGGAAAAAUUAUAUUUUUCCUUUAGUUCUUUGACUUGGAGUAUGUUGUGUGAAGUACUUGUGCUUGAAAAUGAAUUGCUGACACAGAAAUUUCUAUGAAUGCAUGCAGCCCAUAAGUGGAUAUGGGGUGGGUAAAGUUUUGGAUUCAGAGAAUCCAGAGUUCAACAAAGGUGACUUGGUUUGGGGAAUGACUGGAUGGGAAGAGUAUAGUCUCAUUACGGCUCCACACUUGUUUAAAAUUCAACACACAGAUGUGCCUCUUUCUUACUAUACUGGAAUCCUCGGUAAACUUUUUGUUUGCGCAAUUUAUGUGAGCAAAUUGUGUCUUCUUUUUCAUAUGUAAAUGUUUUUGAUAUCUUGAUGUGAAGGUAGAAAAUUGCAUGUUUUGAGUUUUUGCAUAUUUGAUGGAAACACAGAACUGUACCUGAAUCUUUCAGAACCCCCUUUUCUUUGAAGUUUGAACACUUUUCUUGAAUGUAUCAACUUUAUUUAUGGGAUAUGUUGCCAAAUUGGCAAAUCUAUUCGUUAUAAAACUUUCCUUUGACAGUUUAAUCUAAGCAGAUGUUAAUUCUGCAAAUAGAGUGUGCCUUAGAUUAGUUUCAUAGAUUUGUCUCCUUCUGUACAGUAAAAACUUUGAGCAUUUUCGCCAUAUUCUGAUCAAUACACUCCAACUAGUUAGUUCUUGAGGCGUUUUAUGGUUUUGUGGAGUGAGGCAAGAUGUAUACGUUUGCAAAUUGGCAAUGUCUUUUGCUUGAUGGGUUGAGAGUUGUGAGUGUCAAUAGGAAAGUCUCAAAGUGCGCAGUGCUCACUUGAGCACCCAUAUUACUUGGUGACCUGUUGCCUCAGCAAACAGGACCUCUGUUUUAUGAACUCCAAAAAGUUAUUCUGUUAAAUAGAUCGAGACAGAGGCCAUACUAUAUUUAUUAUUGCUACAAAAGUGUGAAACAAUAUUCUUUAUUUAAUAUUCUAAACAAUUGAGCCAUUUAGUUAUGAUACUCUGCUGUAUUGGGGCUAAUAAUCUAAGUCGGUUCAAAGUGGUAAAUUUAUAAAUUGAUAGGUAUGCCUGGUAUGACCGCUUACGUUGGAUUUUAUGAGGUCUGCUCUCCUAAGCAAGGAGAGUGUGUCUUCAUAUCCGCCGCAUCUGGUGCAGUUGGACAGCUUGUGGGCAAAGUUAUUGGGUUGCUAUGUCGUCGGAAGUGCUGGAAGCAAAGGCAAGGUAUGUAAUCUGUGUGAAGUACUUGCUUGUUUCCAUGUUACUUUCAAACAUUUAAAUUAAAAAGGAAAUUUUCAUAAUCUUGCCUUUUCUAUGAUUUUCAAAACCAAGGUUGAUCUACUGAAGAACAAGUUUGGGUUCGACGAGGCAUUUAACUAUAAAGAAGAAGCUGAUUUGAAUGCUGAUUGUUGGGAAUUUGAUUAUUCUAGGUAUGCCUGGUGUAACUGCAUACGCUGGUUUAUACGAAGUUUGCUGUCCGAAGAAAGGAGAGUAUGUCUAUGUAUCUGCAGCAUCUGGAGCUGUUGGUCAGCUUGUUGGACAGUUUGCAAAAUUAGCUGGUUGCUGUGUUGUUGAAAGUACUGGAAGCAAAGAAAAGGUGCUGUUAUAACAUUCUUAAGUAGUAAAUAUAGCACCGUGCCUUCUACCAGAAUUUUACAUGCUUUAUGUUCCAACUAAGCAUCCAUAUAUGAUCGUGAUAAUUAGCAAGGUCAAUAAUUUUUUUUUGACUAUUUUUUCAAUGUAAGGUCGAUUUGUUGAAGAACAAGUUUGGACGAUGCUUUUAACUACAAGGAAGAGCCAGACUUGGAUGCAGCACUCAAAAGGUCAGCUCCAACAAACGUUUCAACUCUAAUAUUUCAUUUUAAUAUUACAGAGCUUUGGUUGAAGUGUGUGAUUUGAUCCCAGAAAUGUAACUUCAUCAGUGUCUCUGUUUUCAAAAAACAGGACAAAUAGAAAUCUGAUUUUGCUUUAAAAUUUCCCAGAUGCUUCCCUCAAGGAAUCGACAUAUAUUUCGAAAAUGUUGGGGGAAAGAUGCUGGACGCAGUGCUACUCAACAUGAGGCUCCGGGGCCGCAUUGCGGUAAGCAGUAUCAUCUCACAGUACAACCUGGAAAAACCCGAAGGCGUACACAACUUAGAGCAACUGAUCGGGAAACGGAUUCGCCUGGAAGGAUUUAUAGCUGGGGAUUACUAUCACCUCUACCUGAAAUUCUUGGAAUUGGUCAUUCCUGCAAUCAGAGAAGGAAAGAUGGUGUAUGUGGAAGACAUAGCCAAAGGACUCGAGAAAAUUUCUCGUAACUGCUACACAUUAAACGCAUUUCACAUUUCCACUCUCUCUCUAUAAAUAAAUACGCACAUAAAAUUUGUCACCAUCCAAAAACAAAAUCUACAUAAAAAAUGGCGGGUGAAGAAGCAGUGAGCAACAAGCAGGUGAUUCUGAGCAACUACGUGACAGGGUUUCCCAAAGAAUCAGACAUGAAGAUAAUAACAGGCUCAAUAAACCUCAGGUGCCAGAGGGUUCAAAAGACGCAGUGCUUUUGAAGAAUCUUUGUCUUUCCUGUGAUCCUCACAUGAGAGGACAUAUGAGCGAGCUUGAUAAGCCUUGGUUUGUUGCCUCGUUAAAGUCUCGAAAAUCCUGAAGGUAUCGACAUCUAUUUCGAAAAUGUUGGGGGUAAGAUGCUUGAUGCAGUGCUACUCAACAUGAGAAUUUGUGGCCACAUCGCUGUAUGCGGAAUGAUCUCACAGUACAACCUUGAGAAGCCUGAAGGUGUACACAACUUGAUGCAAGUAGUUGGAAAACGAAUUCGCAUGGAAGGAUUUCUUGCCGGUGAUUUCUACCACCAAUAUCCAAAAUUCUUGGAACUGGUUAUGCCGGCAAUCAAAGAAGGAAAGUUAGUAUAUGUCGAGGACAUAGCUGAAGGCCUUGAGAAAGCUCCAUCAGCUCUAGUUGGGGUAUUCACUGGGCAGAAUGUUGGAAAACAACUGGUUGUAGUUGCUCGGGAAUGAUAUGAUUACUAUAUGACCAUACACUUUAAAAGCUUAGUGAAGAUGCCUGUGUCUUAUUUGUGAUACAUGUUAUGUUUGUUUGAUCAAGUUGUACUCAGCUAUAAAUCAAAGAUUCAGAACAUGUGUAUGACACUGGUUUCUAAAUCAAUGAACGCUUUCAAAUGUUAGUAUUUUCACAGGAGAAUGCAAUUUAAUUUAUCAACGAUGUCCCAACAAGACCCUCAGAACUGUAGCUUGUAAAGUUAAUUACCAUAUUUUUUUCUUUCCAAUAUAUUUGCUUAUUUCAUAGAAAGUUUACAUUAAAGUCUCAUGUUUCUUUGAAAGGUAAGCAAGUGUGAACGUUUCAAUCUAGAGCUGGAAAAUGCAUUUCCGGGAACUUACUUGAUAAAUGAAGUUUUCAUCUCUGACCUUGAUGUUUCCCACAGGUGCAUUCAUUUCAGCUGAUCUAUAUAAUUUUGUUUUCGAAGGAGAGACACAAAAUCUCCGUUGUUAAGGGGAGAAUUUAGAGUGGCUUUGACUGUUAACAAAUAGCCUAAUGUAAGACUUAACCAACUUCCUGCCCUGUUGUAUGCUUAUGAAUUUUGAUAGAGCUAAGAGUUUGCAGAAGCUAUUGUAUUAUAUGUCGUUAGAGGCUGUAAACAUCAAACACAUUUAAAUUUCAAUGAAAAUUUACUGGAAGUAAAUUUCCUUUGAUCCCACAGGUGACUAAUUAAUGAGAACUUGACAAUGACAAAAGAAAGUGUAUGAACUUUGCAGGCUGGCAUGCCAAUAUUGACUGGGUGGCACCAUCCACCAUCUGCAAGUGAAUAUCAUUGUUGUUUAAUCAACAAGGUGGAGUCCACUGGGACCACACCACAUCGUCAGCCUUAUCUCUAUUCCUCAAUUUUCAGUAUUCCAUACAUCAAAACAAUUUCAGUUUUGUUAUCAAUUAUAAUUUCAUUGUUGGUGACGAUUCUGAUUCCUUUCUUUCUGACAAAACGGAACCAUGGUUGCUGUGGGAGAGAUCUUACUCAACGCCUUCUUUCAGGUGUUGUUUGACAGGUUGGCUUCCCGUGAUUUUCUCAGCUUUGUCCGUCAACUUGGAGGCGGGGUCGAUUCCGAGCUCAAGAAGUGGGAAAGAAAGCUGAAGCUGAUUCAGGCGGUGCUCAACGAUGCAGAGGAGAAGCAACUGACUGACGAGGCUGUGAAGAUGUGGCUGGACGAUCUCCAAGACUUGGCUUAUGACGCUGAGGACAUUCUUGAUGAGUUUGCUACUCAAGCUUUGGAAAGCAAGUUGAUGGCGCACAAUCACGAUAGUUCUGGCCAGGUUCUCAGUUUCAUCCCGGCUGGUUUGAAUCCGAAUGCUAUUAUGUUCAAUUAUAGCAUGGGGUCCAAGAUUAAAGAUAUUACUAGCCGGCUGGAGCAACUCUGCCAAGAAAGAAUUGAACUUGGACUGCAACGGAUUACUGGAGGGGCAUCAUCAACUGCUGCUGCUACACAGCAGAGGCCGUCCAGUUCGAGUGUCCCAACAGAACGUGAAGUAUUUGGAAGAGAAGAAGAUAAGGCCAAAAUUCUUGAUAUGGUACUGGCCGAUACUCCAAGUGUUCAUGCCGACUUUGUUGUAAUACCCAUUGUUGGCAUGGGCGGGAUAGGAAAAACAACUCUCGCUCGGGAGGUUUACAAUGACAAGGCCGUUGGAGAUUCCAAGUUUGAUGUAAAAGCAUGGGUUUGCGUAUCUGACGUCUUUGAUGUUUUGGGCAUCUCAAAGGCACUUCUCGAGUCAAUCACCCGCAGGCCUUGUCUUCUAAACAGUUUAAAUGAAGUGCAGGUUGAAUUGAAAGUAGCUGUGGAUAAGAAAAGAUUCUUGCUGGUCUUAGAUGAUGUUUGGAACGAGGACUACAGCUUGUGGGUAGACUUAAAAGCUCCGUUCCUGGGUGCUGCACCAAACAGUAAGAUGAUCGUCACCACACGGCAUAAAGAUGUGGCCUCAAUAAUGGGACCCAUUGAUCAUUACGGUCUCAAGCCUCUGUUAGAUGAUGAUUGCUGGUCCAUUUUCAUAAAGCAUGCAUUUGAAUCUAGAGAUCUUAACGCACAUCAAAUUUCAGAAUCAUUCCGCAAGAAAGUUGUUGCCAAGUGUGGAGGCUUGGCCCUGGCAGCAAAAACACUCGGAGGCCUUCUGCGUACGACGAGGCUUGAUGCGUGGGAUGAUAUAUUAGAGAGCAAAAUAUGGGAUUUACCUCAACAAAGUGAGGUUCUCCCAGUAUUUAGAUUGAGUUACCAUCAUCUUCCUUCUCAUUUGAAAAGAUGUUUCGCUUACUGUGCAAUCUUUCCAAAAGAUUAUGAAUUCAAUGAGAAGGAGGUGACUUUUUUAUGGAUGGCCGGAGGUAUUAUUCGACAGUCCAGAAGCAAAGAGCGGCUAGAAGAUUGGGGCAGCAAGUGCUUCUAUGAUCUGGUGUCAAGGUCAAUUUUUCAGCAAACAGCAAUCUCUGAUAGUUCUAAAUUUGUAAUGCAUGACCUUAUUCAUGAUCUUGCUGAAUCGGUCUUUGGAGAAACCAUAUUCAGGUUAGAGGAGGCCAAUACUCAGUCAAGAAGAUUUGAAAGGGUUCGUCAUUCUUCCUAUGUUUGUGGUGGACGUGAUGGUAAAAAUAUGUUCGAGGUUUUCAAUGAAAUUGAACGUCUCCGAACAUUCUUGCCAUUACGCUUACGCAUAAGAGGUGGCUCUAAUACUAGUUUCAUAACUCGUACGGUUCUAUCUGAUUUGCUGCCGAAGUUCAAAAUGUUGAGAAUGCUAUCUUUACAAGGAUACCGUAUCGGUGAGUUACCAAUUCCGUUUGAAGAUUUGAGACUUCUAAGGUUCCUCAACCUUGCUGACACUGACAUAAGAAGUUUACCUGAGUCAACAUGCAAAUUGCUGAACUUGGAAAUUUUGAUAUUAAGAAAUUGUUCCCGUUUGAUAAAGCUUCCGCAGAAAAUGAGGAAUUUGAUCAAUUUACGUCACCUCGAUAUAAGAGGUGCGAAGUUGCUGAAGGAGAUGCCAUUCGGAAUGAAAGAGUUGAAGAAGCUUCAAACAUUGUCCAAUUUCAUCGUGGGCAAGGGCGAAACUGCAUCUGGUUUGGAAGAUUUAAAAUGUUUAAACCUUCUUUGUGAU